rnacentral:lncRNA from 1 species
CAUGCAGGGAUGUCGUCUUGCAACAACCCAACAUAGCACAUGCAAGCUCACAAGUAUUGCAACAAAGUUACCAACUGUUGCAACAAUUAUGUUGUCAGCAACUGUGGCAGACCCCCGAGCAGUCACGGUGCCAAGCCAUCCACAAUGUCAUUCAUGCUAUUAUUUUGCAUCAACAACAACAACAACAACAACAACAACAACAACAACAACAACAACAACAACAACAACAACAACAACAACCGUCGAGCCAGGUCUCCUACCAGCAGCCUCAGCAACAAUAUCCAUCAGGCCAGGGCUCCUUCCAGCCAUCUCAGCAAAACCCACAGGCCCAGGGCUUUGUCCAACCUCAGCAACUGCCGCAGUUCGAGGAAAUAAGGAACCUAGCGCUACAGACGCUACCAGCAAUGUGCAAUGUCUACAUCCCUUCAUAUUGCUCGACCACCAUUGCGCCAUUUGGCAUCAUGAGUACUAACUGAGAAGAGAAGAACUCUAUUACUAGAUAUAUGAAACACCGUUUUCUUAAAACAUGGUUUGGUCGUUGUAGCGGUGAAAAAUAAAGUGACAUGCACUAUCAUGUAAGAACCCGAACUAGACUAUUUCAAACUUGGAAAUAAAAGACAAACACAGGUCUUGUCUACAUAUGAUUGUUUGUUUGAGUUCCAUUCAUGUACCCGUUCACAAGUUCACCCCUAAUUAUAUAUAUUAAGCAUUAGUUAGAUGUUUAUGUGCAUUAAUCUAAGGAUAACAAAAUGAAUCUGAAACUUGAAUUUAAUUAAAGUAUUUUCUUGGACUUUCAAAUUGAGCAUUGAUAGUGAGGACUAUCCACAUCCUUGGCUUGCCCUUGAUCAAUUAUUUCCAAAGAAGCAUUCAAUUCAUCAGUCACUUACAUUGAUUUUUGUGGCUUGUACUUCUCCUCAACAUGAGUAUCUUCAUUGCAGCUACUCCAAAUCUGCCACAUAACUGAAGCAUUAAUAGUGCUCUUCCUUGCAUCAAGGAAAUAUGGAUCGAAGAUAUCUCUUGACCAUGUUUUCGGGUGCAACCUUGGGAGUUUUAUGUCAAAAUAUUCUCAAGAAGAAUCCAAGAAUAAACUUGCAUGCUCACGUGUGAAAAGGGCAUAUGAAGUAACAUUUCCUCACCAAGGCCACACAUAGGGCACACACAUAACCCCAUCACAUGCCUUUUUAGUUAUGCAUAUGAAGGUAGGAUAUUUUUCAUUACUCUGCACCAAAAUACUCUUAACUUGGAUUGUACCCUAAGCUUUCGUUGCCUUUUACAUUUUUCUUCCCCAUUAGAUGAACUAGAUAGUCCAGCUACCACACGAUACCUUGUGUUCAUCUCGGCUCUGUACAACAAUUGAACAGAAGAAAUGUCAUUUCUUUACCAUACCCAUGACCAAAUGUUCUCUGCUACUCCCUCCGUCCCAAAAUACUGCCAUCCAUGUCGACAACAAUGAGUCAUAUAGGACCGCUAUGCCUCUGUUGAAGGAGGUGGUGGAGCGAUCCGGAGAUUAUUCUGCCAUCCAUGUUGAGUAAAACCUCACUGGCCACUUGCUCCAACCGCAUACACACCGCCAUAAACAACGGUUGGUACUCAGUUCGGUGUAGCAUACACCAUGUAGGAAGCGAGUGCUUACUCCUAGUUACUGAAUUAUUGUUAGACUAUGUAUAGCUUCUGUACCUAUGUACGUAUAUGGUACAUAUUGUAACACAACCAUUAUAUAUAAUGAGAUAAGCCACCCCUAGAGGGUUGUGCUGGUUCCCCAAAACUUAUUGUCUUACAUGGUAUCACGCUAGGUUACGAUCGCUUCCGCUUCUAAACCCUAAUACCCGCACCGCCGCCGCAGCCGCCGCCGCCUUCACCGCCGCCGCCGCGCCACCGAUCGCGCCGCCGCCAUGUCGAGCGCCGCCAUCACCGGUUCCACUGCUGCGGGCUUCCUCCCGGCCUCUCUUGCGGCUCUGCUCAACCUCCCGCUCGAUGCCGUCUCUGUUCCGGCUCCGAUCGGGACAAGGAGCAUCAGCUCCGUCUUCUCCACGCCGCCGGCGCCCUCGCUUGGGCAUGACCUCGUGGUCCACACCGCGGCGCCGCCGUCCGCUGCGGACUCCGCAGGCGUCGUCCCGCCGCUCCUGCCGCAAGCGGAUCACACUGCCCCACUGGCGGGGUUGGCGGCGUCCGCCCCGGCCGCGGGCCUUGCGGCGUCCGCACCGGCCGCGAGCUUUGCGGCGCCCGUCCUGGCUGCGGUCCCGCCUCCUCCCGCAUCGGCUUCGGUGCCUCCGGCUGCCUCCAUGGUGUUUGCACCCCAGGCAGCCUCCUCGAUGGGAUUGUCUUCGCCGCUGCCGUUUCACUUCGGUCAUCUCAUCACCAUCAAGCUCUCCGCCGACAACUACAUCUUCUGGCGUGCGCAGGUUCUCCCGCUCUUGGGGAGUCACUACCUGCUAGGCUACGUCGACGGAUCGCUUCCCUGCCCACCCGCGCUGGUAGACAGCGUGCACGGUCCGGUCUACAAUCCGGCCCAUCGCGUCUGGACGGGGCAGGACCAGGCGAACCUCUCCUCCAUCCAGGGGUCGCUCUCGCCGGCAGUUGCCGGCCUUGUUGUCUUCGCGAAGACGUCUCAUGAGGCCUGGACCAUCCUUGAGCGCACCUUUGCAGCGCAGUCCCAGGCUCGUGUCUCUGCACUCCGUCGUCAGCUUGGAGAGUGUCAGAAGCUUGACUCCACUGCCACUGAGUUCUACAACAAGGUCAAGGGCCUCGCCGACACAUUGGCCUCCAUUGGACAGCCCCUCACCGACUCCGAGUUCAACUCAUUUAUUGUCAAUGGUCUUGAUGAGGAGUAUGAUGCCUUAGUCGAGAUCAUCAACGAGCGGGGCAACUCGACACCCAUGCUGGCACACGAGGUUUUCUCUCGGCUCCUUCUCACUGAGCAACGGGUCGAGACUCGCCGCACCAGGGGCACUGGCUCCCUCUCGGCCAACGCCGCCACCAAGGGUGGCCGCUCUUCUUCAUCACCCCGGUCUCCCUUGGGGCUGCCACCGUCGCCCGCCUCGGCCCCCCCACCUACUGCGACCUUACCGGGGGCUGGCGGUCCACGUGUGUGUUAGCUUUGUGGCCGCGAUGGGCACUGGGCCUCCAAGUGUCAUAAGCGCUUCCAGCGAAGCUUCCUUGGUCUUGGCAAUGACGGCAAAGAUACACGCAACAAUGCCCGUCAGGUCGCCAUGGCUGAUCGUCCCGCGCCGCAGAAGCAACAGGGACACACUCAGUCCUACUCCAUCGAUCCACACUGGUACAUGGACUCUGGGGCGACAGAGCAUCUAACUAGCGAGAUGGGGAAGCUUCACACUCGUGAACCCUAUCAUGGCUCCGACAAGAUCCACACCGCCAAUGGAGCAGGUAUGCACAUCUCUCAUAUUGGUCAAGCAUCUCUUCUCACUAGACAUGCCAAUAGGAGUCUUCAGCUUCGCAAUGUUCUUCGAGUUCCAUCUGUGACCCGUAAUCUUCUUUCAGUUCCUAAACUCACACGUGAUAAUAAUGUGCUUUGUGAAUUUCACCCUUUUGAUCUUUUUAUUAAGGAUCGGGGCACGAGGGACAUUCUUCUUAGUGGGCGGUUGUGCCAGGGCCUCUACCGUCUGUAGCAUCCUGGUGUCGCUCGUGUUUUCAGUGGAGUUUGGGUCUCUCCGUCACAGUGGCAUGCUCGUCUUGGUCACCCGGCCACACCUAUUGUCCGUCAUAUUUUGCGUCAUCAUGAGCUUCCUAGUUUGUCUAGUCAUAAAGAUGUAGCAGUGUGUGAUGCUUGUCAGCAGGGGAAGAGUCAUCAACUUCCUUUUUUGGAGUCCAGUCGUGAGGUGAAACAUCCUUUAGAACUUGUGUUUUCAGAUGUAUGGGGUCCUGCUCAGACUUCUGUCAGUGGUCAUAAUUACUAUAUCAGUUUCGUUGAUGCUUAUAGUCGCUUUACCUGGCUUUACCUUAUUAAACGCAAAUCUGAUGUGUUUGAUAUUUUUGUUCAGUUUCAAAAACAUGUUGAACGUCUUCUCAAGCACAAAAUUGUUCAUGUCCAGUCAGACUGGGGGGGGCGAGUAUCGCAACCUCAACUCUUUCUUUCAGUCGCUUGGGAUAGCUCAUCGUUUAGCAUGUCCACAUACACAUCAGCAGAAUGGUUCAGUCGAACGUAAGCAUCGUCAUAUUGUUGAAGCUGGUCUUACUCUUUUGGCCCAUGCAUCUGUUCCGUUUCGGUUUUGGAGUGAUGCUUUCAUCACUGCAUGCUUUCUCAUCAACCGUACUCCUACUCGUGUUUUAAACAUGAAGACUCCCAUUGAGGUUCUCCUUAAUGAACAACCUGAUUAUACCUUUCUCAAGGUAUUUGGGUGUGCUUGCUGGCCGCAUCUUCGUCCAUAUAACAAGCGCAAGCUUGAGUUUCAUUCUAAGAAGUGUGUUUUUCUUGGCUAUAGCUCUCUUCAUAAAGGUUACAAAUGUCUUCAUGUUCCCACUAAUCGUGUCUAUAUAUCUCGGGACGUCGUGUUUGAUGAGCAUGUUUUUCCCUUUGCCAACCUUCCUGUGUCCACUGUCGAACCACCAUCCCUGCAUUCAUCCUCUGUUGCUUCUGACCAAUUUGAUGAUGUUGCAUACUCUCCUUUGCUGUUACCUAACCAUGGUGCAGGAACCGGACGUGGAGCUCGUUUGGAGCUGUUGGAGGAUUCACCAUCAUCAUCGUCGUCUUCUGGUGGGCACGUCGAUCGCCCUAUGUUGCAUGGCAUCGAUUCACGUGCCCAUGCAUGGUCACCCGACGAGCCCGUCGCGCCGAGCAUCUCCACUGCUCGGUCCGUUUCGCAAGCGGCCGCCGAGUCGCCCGCGGCUCGGCCCGUCACGCCGUCUUCGCCUGCGGCUCGGCCCGUCACGCCGUCUUCGCCCGCGGCUCGGGUCCUCACGUCGCCUUCAUCAGCGGAUCGGCCCGCGACACCGGCCGCGCCACGGCCCACUAUGCCGAGCUCGCCAUCGGCCCGGUCUGUGAUGCCGGAGUCGCCAGCUGCUUCGUCUGCUCUGCCGGUUUCGCCGGUGGGUCGGCCUUCUUCGCCAACCGAGUCCGAGGCUACCGUGACUGGCUCCUCGUCACCGGCUGACUCGUCAACGUCGCCGUCCUCCAGCCCGUUGCAGGCUGCUCCGUCGACCUCGGUGGUUCCUGUGUCCCGACCACAUACACGCAGUCGCAGUGGCAUUUUCAAACCUAAGGAACGUAAGGAUGGUACGGUUGUUUGGUUGGCUGCUUGUUUGGCUGCUGCUGUUGCGGAUCCAUCUUCUGAGCCUCGCUCAUAUCAGGCUGCCCUGCGCAUUCCACAUUGGCGAGAGGCUAUGGAGCAGGAGUUUCAUGCUCUUCUUCGUAACAAGACAUGGACUCUCGUUCCUCCACCACCACGGGUAAAUGUUAUUGACUCAAAAUGGGUAUUCAAAGUGAAGAAGCAUUCGGAUGGAUCUAUUGAGCGUUACAAAGCGCGACUUGUUGCUCGCGGUUUUCGGCAGCGUCAUGGUCUUGACUAUGAGGACACCUUCAGUCCUGUCGUCAAGCCUACCACUAUUCGGCUUCUUCUCUCCAUUGCUGUUUCUCGUGGUUGGUCACUUCGUCAACUUGACGUGCAGAAUGCUUUUCUACAUGGAUUUUUGGAGGAAGAGGUUUAUAUGAAACAGCCGCCUGGUUUCUCUGAUCCUGAUCGUCAUGACUAUAUCUGUCGUCUUUCCAAAGCACAACUAACCUGAUGUAUUUCUUAUUAAAACACACAAACAACUUGAUUUCCAGCAAGAAUACAAACGUGUAAGCUGAGAACUGCACACCUCAGCCCGGCGAACACUCCAGGCCGCCGUGGCACGUCCCGGAGAAGAUUGAACGCAUAUAGCAACAACAUAUCUGUACACGGCAAUAUCGGAAGCACAUCGGCGAACACUUGAGGCCGCCGCCACACGUCGAUUGCAGGCAUAACAACAACAAAUCUAGACGCGGCAAUGUCGGAUGCACAUUGGCGAAAAGUCGAACACUCAACGCCACCAGCGCACAUCCCGGAGAUCAAAGGCGCAACAGCAACACAUCUAUACGCGGCAAUGUCGGAGGUACAUCAGUGAAUACUGCAUCGCCACACGUCCUCGAGAUCUUACGCAUGGCAACAACAAAUCUAUACGUGGCAACGUUGGAGGCACGUGGGCCGGUGAAUCGAAGGCGGGAUAGCAACACAUCCAAUGCAAAGCUCAAGAUGCCGGGACUCCCAACAGAUCAAAGUCAUGACAGCGUUAUCAUCAACUUUGUACAAUAUGUCUCCACGUACUACCUACAUAUAUGUAAUGAAUAAAAAAUAAUUUCAAAUUUCGUUUGAGGGUAACAACAAUACGAUGUACAGAGCCAAAAGGAGAGAGUAGAGCAAUACGUGCAUCUUUUUUUUUUUGUUGAGAGAAGAAUAAACUCACGUGCAUCUAAGCUACCGAUGUCUCAACCCUAGCCUAAAAAAAUUGCCAAGUGUCUGCAUCUACGGAUUGGACGCUAGACUUUGUAUUAUUCUUUUAUGUUAGCAUACGUUGAUAGAUUGGUGCAAAUAAGUUUGAUGUCAAAAAACUAUAGCAAGCACAUAGCUCAAAACUAAAUGAUUGACCCAACAAAACAAAAUAUUACAUAAAUGUUACUGUCGCUUUAAGCUAGAGAAUCUGCACAUUUGAUCAGGGGUCAAUCGAAGGACAAACGUUUGCGGGUAAUUUCUAUGACGUACCAUAAGAAGAAAUAGCCCCUUUAUACUAGCAAACGGGUCCGUGCGUUGUAAUGGGAGAAAAAAAAGAAUCUCCAAUGGCCAUGACCAUAUUUUGCUGCAUCACCGAGAUACCCUAUCACUCUCAAUUUUGUGAAAUCAUGAACAAUUUUUGCAAUCACGAACAUAUUUUUAAACUCUUACACAUAUUUGAAAUCAUAAACAUUUUUCAGAUUCAUGAACACUUAUACAAAUUUUAGAACAUUUCUGAAAUCAAGAACAUUUUCGGAAUUGAUGAACAUUUUAUAGUAUUUGCAAACAUUUUUUAAAAAACUUGAACAUCUUUAUAAACAAUUUUUUUAAUCAACAAACAUUUUUAUGGAAAUUGGUGGAACAAUUUUAGAAAUUCACGAACAUUUUUUGAUUUAACGAACAUUUUUUGAAAUACAUGAUCAGUUUUUGAAUUAGUGAACAUUUUCUGAAUGACUAAACUAUUUUGUAAGGCACCAAUAGUUUUUGAAUUUUAGGAUAUUUUCCCAUUCAUGAACAUUUUUCUGAACUGGUGAUUUGUUUUUCAAUUUCAUUAAUAAUUUUUGAUACACGAAANNNNNNNNNNNNNNNNNNNNNNNNNNNNNNNNNNNNNNNNNNNNNNNNNNNNNNNNNNNNNNNNNNNNNNNNNNNNNNNNNNNNNNNNNNNNNNNNNNNNUGCAGCCCGCUUCUUUCUCUGUAGUCAGGACGCGGUGACACGCGCUUUGACAUCGGAUGACGCGCUCACAGGCACGGGAGGGGCGGUACAACAUGGCACCAUCAAUGGCAGCCAUGAUGCCCGUGCCACUGUGGUCCCUCUCAGUGUCGACCUGGAGCAACUCGCCACUCCUCGGCUCGUGACCGGCGGGGUUGACGGGCCACCUAGCUAUUGUUUAUGCGAGACAACUCUUUUUCCUGCUCAUCAGAUGCCAUGGAGAAAACUGUUCAAGGAGAAAAAUGGUGAGUGGAGGUGUGAUGCAGUUCUUGCUCGACAUCUGACAUCUAUCUAUUAUAUAAUUAAAACGAUAGAAAACGAACGGUUAAGAUUAAUUGUUCUAAAGUUAAGAAAAAACAACGGUGGAGAUUUACAGCAUAUAUGUUUUUUUUUUUUGAAAAUUACAGCAUAGAUGUUUGAACCACGUGCAUUACACGUACAUGUACAAGACCAAAACAGACGUACAUGUACCAGACCAAAACAGACGACCCGUCAAACAUAGUACGAUUGACUGAUCUCCGUAAAGAAUACGUCCAAUAAGGAAGGAGUCCUGAUUGAUUUCUAACUGGAACACGCACAACUAACCUGAUGUAUUUCUUAUUAAAACACACAAACAACUUGAUUUCCAGCAAGAAUACAAACGUGUAAGCUGAGAACUGCACACCUCAGCCCGGCGAACACUCCAGGCCGCCGUGGCACGUCCCGGAGAAGACUGAACGCAUAUAGCAACAACAUAUCUGUACACGGCAAUAUCGGAAGCACAUCGGCGAACACUUGAGGCCGCCGCCACACGUCGAUUGCAGGCAUAACAACAACAAAUCUAGACGCGGCAAUGUCGGAUGCACAUUGGCGAAAAGUCGAACACUCAACGCCACCAGCGCACAUCCCGGAGAUCAAAGGCGCAACAGCAACACAUCUAUACGCGGCAAUGUCGGAGGUACAUCAGUGAAUACUGCAUCGCCACACGUCCUCGAGAUCUUACGCAUGGCAACAACAAAUCUAUACGCGGCAACGUUGGAGGCACGUGGGCCGGUGAAUCGAAGGCGGGAUAGCAACACAUCCAAUGCAAAGCUCAAGAUGCCGGGACUCCCAACAGACCAAAGUCAUGACAGCGUUAUCAUCAACUUUGUACAAUAUGUCUCCAGGUACUACCUACAUAUAUGUUAUGAAUAAAAAAAUAAUUUCAAAUUUCGUUUGAAGGUAACAACGAUACGAUGUACAGAGCCAAAAGGAGAGAGUAGAGCAAUACGUGCAUCUUUUUUUUUUGUUGAGAGAAGAAUAAACUCACGUGCAUCUAAGCUACCGAUGUCUCAACCCUAGCCUAAAAAAAGUUGCCGAGUGUCUGCAUCUACGGAUUGGACGCUAGACUUUGUAUUAUUCUUUUAUGUUAGCAUACGUUGAUAGAUUGGUGCAAAUAAGUUUGAUGUCAAAAAACUAUAGCAAGCACAUAGCUCAAAACUAAAUGAUUGACCCAACAAAACAAAAUAUUACAUAAAUGUUACUGUCGCUUUAAGCUAGAGAAUCUGCACAUUUGAUCAGGGGUCAAUCGAAGGACAAACGUUAUUAGUCAGGUUGCUCACAAAAAUAAAAACAUAUUUUUCAUUAUGUGAAUAAAGAAUAAAACUAAAUUUAUAUCUGCAGUUCAAAAAUAUGAGUAAAAAUAAAUAGAAAAUUAUUUUUAUCAUAUUAGAUUCAGAAAUGGGAUUUACAUAUAAAUUAUACUGAACAUGAAAUACAAUAAUAAAAUUUAAAAAAUCAAAUUACCGUCAGAUUAAAAUGAAACUUGAUGCAAAUGAAUGGACAAAAAAAGUCACUCUUGGGUCAAUUUUCACAGCUAUUUUAUGAGUAUCUUUGCUUACAUGAAUCUCGAUGAGAGAAUCAGAUAGUUCUGAUCGAUCGUUGAAUGCUAAUUUCACAGUUGUCCGAGAAAUAGCAAUACCAAAAUGUUUAUUACUAACUAUAUAUAAAUAACAUUUUGUCAAAGACGAACGUACCAAUCAUAUUACCCACAUACGAGUAGGAAAUUCCCACCAAAGUUUGAUCAUGUUUCCUCGAGAUGCAUACGUUACCUAUAAUAUUUUUUGUAAAUUAAACUAUAUAUCAACGACAAUGUCAGAAAAAUAAACUAAGUAAUAUCUGUUUCCCUACAUUGGAAAAUAUUGGUAUAGAAUAUAAUAAUAUAUAUAAUUGAACAUGUGGGUGAAGGAAAGAAAAAAGGUUAAGCAAGAAGGUUAGGAGCAAAUUUAUUGCAAGUGCGCGAAUAACCAUUUUAGCUAUUCUAAAAAUCACAUUUCAAUUCAAAAGAACAUAUUCAUCAUCAGAAAAAAAGCUACUCUGUGCUCGAGUGAGAGAAAAUCUAGCAAUUUCCACACCAUUAAAAAAUAGGUUGUCUUAGACUGGACAGCAGCGAAAUAGUAAGGAACAUAGUUUCAUUUUGUUGGCAAUGACUUCUAGAGUAAUAUGAGUGGAAGGACAAAUGCAUAGGGAUGAGAUGGAAAGGGAUUGGGAAAGCUGGCAACCAACAGCUACAAAUCGUGAGACUCCUAGAAAAUUUCAAUGGGACACCAAGUUUAAUAAUUUUUUCUAAAUAUAACUUCUCUAUGUAAAUACUCAUGUAGCAGCUAACCAAAAUCAUCAUGAGAAAAAAACUACACUUUGCUCGAGGGAGAGAAAAUCUAGCAAUUUCCACGCCAUUAAAAAAUUAGGUUGUUUCAGACUGGACAGCAGCGAAAUAGUAAAUAACAUUGUUUCAUUUUCCUGGGAAUGACUUCUAAAGUAAUAUCACGGCAAGGAUGAAUGCAUAGGGAUGAGAAGGAAAGGAAUUGGGAAAAAGCUGGCAACCAACAACUACUAAUUGUGAGACUUUUAGAAAAUUUAAAUGGAACCCCAAGUUUAAUAAUGUUUUCUAAAUAUAACUUCUCUAUAUAAAUAAUCAUGUAGCAGCUAACCAAAAAAAGACAUUAAUUUUUUAGCAAGUCUAGCCGCGCAAAUGCGCGGGUUACAUUGCUAGUUGUUUAAAUAGCGAUGGGACACGAGGAGCCAACCGGCGUUCUGUUUAAUGCCAGCCGGCUGACGAACGAACAUGUGGCUGCAGUAAUUAUCCUGGCACACGCGCGGGUUUAAUGGUGGAAGGCGGGCAGUCUGGAGGAAUGAGGCAGGAUGUGUGUUUAGCCGGCGUGCAGCGGGGCGGUACCCUUGGCGUGCGUGGGGCGGUACUGGAGGCAUGAAUGUGGGCAGCCGGCGCAGAGCGGGAACACGUGUGUGCGAGAGAGGAGGGGGUUUGGGUGGGCACGAGUGGUCGGAAGCAGUCGUGGGUGUUGUCUGGACGCGUGCAAAGCCCCCCUCCCCCAUGUGUUGUCUCCGGUUUGCGGGAGAAAGUACGUCUGGACUGCCCUGUGGACCGAUACAAGCCCGCAUUAGAUGGCACAACACGUCCAGACCAUGUGGUCCGGAUGGUUGUGGACGGUUUAAUUGAGGGUCGGCGUUGGAGAUGCCUUAGAGUUUAUGAAUCCAUUGUGUUUUCCUAAUCAUAAAAAAUCACUUAUAAUAAGUUAUAUGGAAAGACACGUAUAUAAGUUAGGUUCAGACUCCAGCUUUCCUCUUAUAUAUGUUUUCUUUUCUGAUCCGACUGAUUCCAAUAGAGUGAGCCUAGCGUUGUUUUUCUGGAAACUCGAUACACGUUCUUUCAAGCAAAUCACAUCCAUUCUUUUUAACUAAUUUUUUUCUUGUUUUAAUAAUAUAAUAAAUCAUUUGUAUUUCUUAUCUCGAACAGUUGACCUGUAAUUCCUAUUGUAAUCUAAGGAUAAUGUUUGGAUUUUACUUUCAAAUAUUUGAAAUGGCCAUGAUGGAAUCACAUCCAUUUAUUUUAUUAUUAUUUGAAUUUGAUCCAAAAGAUAAAUAAUGAGUACACGUCCUGAAAACUUUUCUGAGAACUUUGGUAAUCAAAAGACAAAAAAGGUUUUAAGAACUGAAGCAAACCACGAAUUUUACUCUCUAUUUUACUAAAGCAAGUGGCUGCUAUUUAGCUCUAGUGAAUACCAAAUUGACCAACAACCUUUUUUCCAAAUUGGAAGGAAUGCAGUUCUCAGCUCUCACCGUGGUGAUUAUACAAUCUGGAUUUUCGAGCUGUAGGUAGUCAACUUAUGUUAGUGGCAUAUGUAACAUAGUGUUGGUCACUGGGAAUGGAUGAAGCCAUGAGUGAAGGAACAGGAAAUGACAGAAGUAUGAUUUGUAGAAUUUCAAAACUCAAAAUAUCUAGUUUUAUGGAGUGAUAUGAAAUAAGCAAACCAACUGCUUAUAAAAAUGUAAAAUUAAACGACAUAUUUAGAAAUGUGAUUGUGAAGUCAUUGUCACAAAAUAUGACCCCACUAAAAAUGAACAUUCAACCUUAUUUUCAGAAGUUUGCAUACAAAUCCCAUGUAAAUUAUGGUAGUGCUCACAAACAAAUAAACUAAAAUCGUGCUUGAUCCACCAUGAAACUUACUACCUUGUCUAUAUUCUUGAAGAGCUCAAAAAAUGCUGAAGCAAUGCCACCUAGCUAGAUAUAUACUUUUGUCAUGUCCAGAGAUUUCCUGCACCAUGAACAAGAAUGCCACCGCAAUAAUAGUCGCUCUUUUGCGACAAAAAAAAUACUGACUUUGGACAGCAAUGCCUGCACAACUACUAUCUGUACGCCAUGCAUGCACCCAUGUAUGUCAGUAAUACAUAUUAUAAGCUUGUGAACAUUGGUUUCAAAGUAGUGAUACCAACAAUACAUCAUCCAGUGAUGGCCAGUCGCAGUACCUAGAUGCCACUUCGGUGCCUGGUUUCAAAGUCGCAAGUUCAUGGCAGGGAAAGCAAUCAUGUGUCUAGAGUAGAGACUUAAAUAAAGACCCAUGCCAUGUAGAUGGAUCAGAUAAUUAUGCCAAUCCUGAUUUUUCAGUGCAAAUCCAGUUCUGAAAUUUCCACUUGUUUAGUUGCUCCCAAAAAGGGCUAUACAGUUAACCAAAAUGAAUUUUGCUCCUAACACCACAGUUUGUUUCCAACGAUCAAGAGAGCGAGCUUCACCAUAGUGAAGUGUGUUUGAUUAAGUACCUGAGCCGGUGUUGUACAUGCAUAUAUGAUAUGUUCACCGCUCCUACCGGAUGCCCGCCGCCGAACUCACCAUCCGUUCUACACAAGCAGCAAAACCGAUCAGAUAAGCUAUUUCGGUUGUUACUUGUAUAGUCUGAUGGAACGAUCAGUUCCAGAAUUACGCCAUGGCGCCAUCUUUUAUAUGCAAUAUACUGUGAACUGAAUUUUCUGUCAGUGAAAUUGACAGAACAGAGUACUACAGGGUAGAGGGGUAGAGCAUGCAAGUGGUGAUUGUUGUGUGGUUUUUGCGUUAGUUAUUUGUGCACCGGGCGUCUAGGUAGCGUUGGCUGGCCAUCUGCAGCUCAUAGGCGCACGAGCACAGCGGUGGCACGCCCAGCACCGCCUCCACUGCCCGCAAGGACGCCACCUAGCCGCCGCCGUAUCUGGAGAAGAAGCAGCAAGCAUGUAAGAGUUUGUCCGUGGACGCUCUAUGGAUCGACCUGAUCGAUCACUCGUUUUGUGCAUGCACCACCACACAUGGCUGAACCGAGCAUCCUCCUGGCGGCGCCCAGUGAGACCGUCCUCGCAGCGGCCACGGCUCGAUGGUUCGCCCCCGUGUGCACGGUACAUGCCGCAGCCUGCAGUCAAAACAGAGCGCGUAGAAGGUGAAGGCAAGGGGAGCUGGUGUGCUGGGAGGGAGACUCCUGGAGCUAGGGAGCACGCCGACGCCAUUGCUCAAGGUGCAAGUUUGUUUCAAUCUUCAAUCCUGCUCGCUGUUGAUUCUGGUUACAGUAAAUUUUAGCUAGAUAUGGUGUAACCUAAGUGUUAUGCCUAGUCUUAAUCUAUCUAUCUAUCCAAUCUUCUAUUCGGCGAGGUGGCUGCGCCUGUGGCAGAUGUGGCCGCUGCCAUGGCCGGCGCAAGACCUGGUCGAUCUCCCUCUUCUGUAUUUGAGAAAAAAAAAUCUCCCUCUUCUCUUCUGAUGAGAAGGGGAAGAGAUGGUGAGAGAUGAAGUCGACGGCUUUGGGGAGAGGAUACGGGAGGACGCCGGUAGUGAGGCGGCAUGAGGAAGACAAGGUGGUUGGCAGCGGCGACGCGUGAGGGGAGGGCAAGGGAGGUGUAGUGGUGCAUGUUGAGGAGUGGGUGUGCAGCGUGCCCAGUUCUCGAGGGAGGAAGGAGGUCGUCAAGGGAGUGAUCCAUGGGAGUUUUUUUUUCCUUCUGAGCGAGCCUAGUUGGGCUCUCUGCAGCGUCUAGGCCCAAUGCACCACAUGUCUUCAAAUUGGCCACCAGUAGCAGCCCAUAGGACAGACAGGGCCAGUUUGCAAAUUUUAAAACAUAAGUUUUUUAGCGCCCAUGAAAAACAGAACACAUAUCUUUCCAAACAUAAUGAACUGUAGGUACCACCAAAAAAACCAUAAUGAACUAUAGGUUGUUACAAGAACUCAUGCCAUCCCACAGCCGCCCUCCCACCCUGCCAACAUUGUUGCAACUGCACUCGCAAGCGUUACCAUAGAUGAUCAUUUGCAUGAUUUCGCGUAAAACAAAAUAAGAUCUACAAACGAAUAGAAGCUACACAUACCUUGGCAUGCACACACAUUGGAAGCCAUACCAAGGUGAUAAGUGUUAAUAACUUGUACAACAUAUACAACAGUUAAGAUAAGUAAAAGCAAUUUGAUGAGUCAUGGUCUAUCAAAGCAAGCUUUAUUACUACUCUAAUCUAUCUUAACAGGUCACACAUGAUUACAAUCCUUUUUGUGUGCAAGUCAAGCUUAUCUAGUUUACACGUAACAACUUGUAGAACAUUACACAAUUGAUGUUUGCUAAUAACUUCUAGAAAGCUAAAACACUUGACAUGUAAAAAGAAUUUGAUGAGUCAUGACCUAGUAAAUCAAGUUACAUUACUAGUCUCAUCUAUCUUAACAGGUCACACAAGAUUACAAACUAAGUUCUGCGCAAGCAAUGCUUAUCUAGUUUACACAUAACAACUUGCAAAACAUUACAAAUUUAGUUUCAAAAAAUUAGGCAAUCUAGAUUAGUGUUUGAGUUGUAAAGUGAAUAAGAUGAGUCAUGUGUGUUAUCACAACUUUUUGGUGGUGGAAUGAUAGUGCCACCAAACACAACAUACCAAAUUAUGAUUUUAGGAAGCAUCCAAGCACUUUCCAGACAAGCAAAUGCCAAUUGUGAAGGAGAUGAUGCCAUGGCAGCUAUAAAUAGGCCUGUAGCAUGAUGAUCAUCCUUCCUCAUCCAUCAUUCUCAUAAGUAGAGUGCAUCAUUCAAGCCAAGCAAGCAGUGGUCAAUACAAAUCCACCAUGAAGACCUUUCUCAUCCUUGCCCUCCUUGCUAUCGUGGCGACCACCACCACAACUGCAGUUAGAGUUCCAGUGCCACAAUUGCAGCCACAAAAUCCAUCUCAGCAACAACCACAAGAGCAAGUUCCAUUGGUGCAACAACAACAAUUUCUAGGGCAGCAACAACAACAAUUUCCAGGGCAACAACAACCAUUUCCACCACAAUAGCCAUAUCCGCAGCCGCAACCAUUUCUGCCACAACUACCAUAUCCGCAGCCGCAACCAUUUCCACCACAACAAUCAUAUCCACAACCACAACCACAAUAUCCGCAACCACAACAACCAAUUUCGCAGCAACAAGCACUACAACAACAACAACAACAACAACAACAACAACAAAAACAAAUCCUUCAACAAAUUCUGCAACAACAACUGAUUCCAUGCAGGGAUGUCGUCUUGCAACAACCCAAUAUAGCACAUGCAAGCUCACAAGUAUCGCAACAAAGUUACCAACUGUUGCAACAAUUAUGUUGUCAGCAACUGUGGCAGACCCCCGAGCAGUCACGGUGCCAAGCCAUCCACAAUGUCAUUCAUGCUAUUAUUUUGCAUCANNNNNNNNNNNNNNNNNNNNNNNNNNNNNNNNNNNNNNNNNNNNNNNNNNNNNNNNNNNNNNNNNNNNNNNNNNNNNNNNNNNNNNNNNNNNNNNNNNNNNNNNNNNNNNNNNNNNNNNNNNNNNNNNNNNNNNNNNNNNNNNNNNNNNNNNNNNNNNNNNNNNNNNNNNNNNNNNNNNNNNNNNNNNNNNNNNNNNNNNNNNNNNNNNNNNNNNNNNNNNNNNNNNNNNNNNNNNNNNNNNNNNNNNNNNNNNNNNNNNNNNNNNNNNNNNNNNNNNNNNNNNNNNNNNNNNNNNNNNNNNNNNNNNNNNNNNNNNNNNNNNNNNNNNNNNNNNNNNNNNNNNNNNNNNNNNNNNNNNNNNNNNNNNNNNNNNNNNNNNNNNNNNNNNNNNNNNNNNNNNNNNNNNNNNNNNNNNNNNNNNNNNNNNNNNNNNNNNNNNNNNNNNNNNNNNNNNNNNNNNNNNNNNNNNNNNNNNNNNNNNNNNNNNNNNNNNNNNNNNNNNNNNNNNNNNNNNNNNNNNNNNNNNNNNNNNNNNNNNNNNNNNNNNNNNNNNNNNNNNNNNNNNNNNNNNNNNNNNNNNNNNNNNNNNNNNNNNNNNNNNNNNNNNNNNNNNNNNNNNNNNNNNNNNNNNNNNNNNNNNNNNNNNNNNNNNNNNNNNNNNNNNNNNNNNNNNNNNNNNNNNNNNNNNNNNNNNNNNNNNNNNNNNNNNNNNNNNNNNNNNNNNNNNNNNNNNNNNNNNNNNNNNNNNNNNNNNNNNNNNNNNNNNNNNNNNNNNNNNNNNNNNNNNNNNNNNNNNNNNNNNNNNNNNNNNNNNNNNNNNNNNNNNNNNNNNNNNNNNNNNNNNNNNNNNNNNNNNNNNNNNNNNNNNNNNNNNCAUAUGAAGUAACAUUUCCUCACCAAGGCCACACAUAGGGCACACACAUAACCCCAUCACAUGCCUUUUUAGUUAUGCAUAUGAAGGUAGGAUGUUUUUAAUUACUCUGCACCAAAAUACUCUUAACUUGGAUUGUACCCUAAGCUUUCGUUGCCUUUUACAUUUUUCUUCCCCAUUAGAUGAACUAGAUAGUCCAGCUACCACACAAUACCUUGUGUUCAUCUCGGCUCUGUACAACAAUUGAACAGAAGAAAUGUCAUUUCUUUACCAUAUCCAUGACCAAAUGUUCUCUGCUACUCCCUCCGUCCCAAAAUACUGCCAUCCAUGUCGACAACAAUGAGUCAUAUAGGACCGCUAUGCCUCUGUUGAAGGAGGUGGUGGAGCGAUCCGGAGAUUAUUCUGCCAUCCAUGUUGAGUAAAACCUCACUGGCCACUUGCUCCAACCGCAUACACACCGCCAUAAACAACGGUUGGUACUCAGUUCGGUGUAGCAUACACCAUGUAGGAAGCGAGUGCUUACUCCUAGUUACUGAAUUAUGUACACCAAAUAAACCCAUUUACACGAAGUUAAUGACAAAAAAGUUGAUGCUUGCUACGCAGAUGUGUAGUACAAAUUAAGAAGUGCAAGAUAAAAAGAUGCUGGUCCUUGAUUCGUUGUUGAUCCUGAGCAUGCCAUCAUCAACUUGUAGUUAAUUAUCAUACAAAUUGGCUCUUUCAUAGAGUUGGAGGCUAGCUCCUUGGAUCAGCACGCGCUUAAACACAAAGAACACGUAUAUGUAUUCUCUCCGAAGUUCAACUCUUGAUUGGCCAGCAAAAAUGGUCCGACCGGGUAGAGGAAAGGCAUGUUUGCUAGUACGCCUGGAGGAAAUGCCUUUGAUUAGGGCAUCUCCAACGGCGACCAGUAAAUUUUCUCCCAUAUUCGUCCACGGACAAGGGAUCAGUCCGUGGAUAUGGAUAUAGGAAUCGGCCAUCCAACGUUGUCCGCAUAUAUUUCGAACACUUCUUUUAAAAAAUCGAAUGAAAUUCAUGCAAACACAGUGGAUUCCAUACAAACCGGACAAAAAUGUUUACAUUUUGGACAUAUUUUUAACUAAAAACUGUACAGCCGGCGCCGGCGACGACGAAUAUCCUCCGGCGACAUGGAUACCCUUGACUAGUCUACUGCCGGCUGCAGCGGAUCUCCAAUGUCAUCCCCAUGUCCGGCAGCUGUGAGCCCUAGGUAUAUGCUUCAACGCAAAGAGCAGCUCGCCUCCCUACCACUCAUCGGAGUGGAACAACCAACUGAUGCUUCUGCCAAUGGGAAAGGGUUCCUACGCUACAUAGGUCAGAGUUGGUUUUGGGUUGGGAACGGUGGUGGCCUGCCAGAGGGCAAGACACCGGCUGUGUAUGCUGGUGUCACCUCAAUAUGGCAUUCAUGGGACCCAAGCGACAGCUUCUCCUCGACUAUUGUGGCGAGCGCAGACGUGUUGGACACCACCUCGUCGAUGUCCAUGCAGCCCGCUUCUUUCUCUGUAGUCAGGACGCGGUGACACGCGCUUUGACAUCGGAUGACGCGCUCACAGGCACGGGAGGGGCGGUACAACAUGGCACCAUCAAUAGCAGCAAUGAUGCCCGUGCCACUGUGGUCCCUAUCAGUGUCGACCUGGAGCAACUCGCCACUCCUCGGCUCGUGACCGGCGGGGUUGACGGGCUACCAAGCCAUUGUUUAUGCGAGACAACUCUUUUUCCUGCUCAUCAGAUGCCAUGGAGAAAACUGAUCAAGGAGAAAAAUGGUGAGUGGAGGUGUGAUGCAGUUCUUGCUCGACAUCAGACAUCUAUCUAUUAUAUAAUUAAAACGAUAGAAAACGAACGGUUAAGAUUAAUCGUUCUAAAGUUAAGAAAAAACAACGGUGGAGAUUUACAGCAUAUAUGUUUUUUUUUGAAAAUUAAAGCAUAGAUGUUUGAACCACGCGCAUUACACGUACAUGUACAAGACCAAAACAGACGUACAUGUACCAGACCAAAACAGACGACCCGUCAAACAUAGUACGAUUGACUGAUCUCCGUAAAGAAUACGUCCAAUAAGGAAGGAGGCCUGAUUGAUUUCUAACUGGAACACGCACAACUAACCUGAUGUAUUUCUUAUUAAAACACACAAACAACUUGAUUUCCAGCAAGAAUACAAACGUGUAAGCUGAGAACUGCACACCUCAGCCCGGCGAACACUCCAGGCCGCCGUGGCACGUCCCGGAGAAGAUUGAACGCAUAUAACAACAACAUAUCUGUACACGGCAAUAUCGGAAGCACAUCGGCGAACACUUGAGGCCGCCGCCACACGUCGAUUGCAGGCAUAACAACAACAAAUCUAGACGCGGCAAUGUCGGAUGCACAUUGGCGAAAAGUCGAACACUCAACGCCACCAGCGCACAUCCCGGAGAUCAAAGGCGCAACAGCAACACAUCUAUACGCGGCAAUGUCGGAGGUACAUCAGUGAAUACUGCAUCGCCACACGUCCUCGAGAUCUUACGCAUGGCAACAACUAAUCUAUACGUGGCAACGUUGGAGGCACGUGGGCCGGUGAAUCGAAGGCGGGAUAGCAACACAUCCAAUGCAAAGCUCAAGAUGCCGGGACUCCCAACAGAUCAAAGUCAUGACAGCGUUAUCAUCAACUUUGUACAAUAUGUCUCCACGUACUACCUACAUAUAUGUUAUGAAUAAAAAAAUAAUUUCAAAUUUCGUUUGAAGGUAACAACGAUACGAUGUACAGAGCCAAAAGGAGAGAGUAGAGCAAUACGUGCAUCUUUUUUUUUUGUUGAGAGAAGAAUAAACUCACGUGCAUCUAAGCUACCGAUGUCUCAACCCUAGCCUAAAAAAAGUUGCCGAGUGUCUGCAUCUACGGAUUGGACGCUAGACUUUGUAUUAUUCUUUUAUGUUAGCAUACGUUGAUAGAUUGGUGCAAAUAAGUUUGAUGUCAAAAAACUAUAGCAAGCACAUAGCUCAAAACUAAAUGAUUGACCCAACAAAACAAAAUAUUACAUAAAUGUUACUGUCGCUUUAAGCUAGAGAAUCUGCACAUUUGAUCAGGGGUCAAUCGAAGGACAAACGUUAUUAGUCAGGUUGCUCACAAAAAUAAAAACAUAUUUUUCAUUAUGUGAAUAAAGAAUAAAACUAAAUUUAUAUCUGCAGUUCAAAAAUAUGAGUAAAAAUAAAUAGAAAAUUAUUUUUAUCAUAUUAGAUUCAGAAAUGGGAUUUACAUAUAAAUUAUACUGAACAUGAAAUACAAUAAAAAAAUUUAAAAAAUCAAAUUACCGUCAGAUUAAAAUGAAACUUGAUGCAAAUGAAUGGACAAAAAAAGUCACUCUUGGGUCAAUUUUCACAGCUAUUUUAUGAGUAUCUUUGCUUACAUGAAUCUCGAUGAGAGAAUCAGAUAGUUCUGAUCGGUCGUUGAAUGCUAAUUUCACAGUUGUCCGAGAAAUAGCAAUACCAAAAUGUUUAUUACUAACUAUAUAUAAAUAACAUUUUGUCAAAGACGAACGUACCAAUCAUAUUACCCACAUACGAGUAGGAAAUUCCCACCAAAGUUUGAUCAUGUUUCCUCGAGAUGCAUACGUUACCUAUAAUAUUUUUUGUAAAUUAAACUAUAUAUCAACGACAAUGUCAGAAAAAUAAACUAAGUAAUAUCUGUUUCCCUACAUUGGAAAAUAUUGGUAUAGAAUAUAAUAAUAUAUAUAAUUGAACAUGUGGGUGAAGGAAAGAAAAAAGGUUAAGCAAGAAGGUUAGGAGCAAAUUUAUUGCAAGUGCGCGAAUAACCAUUUUAGCUAUUCUAAAAAUCACAUUUCAAUUCAAAAGAACAUAUUCAUCAUCAGAAAAAAAGCUACUCUGUGCUCGAGUGAGAGAAAAUCUAGCAAUUUCCACACCAUUAAAAAAUAGGUUGUCUUAGACUGGACAGCAGCGAAAUAGUAAGGAACAUAGUUUCAUUUUGUUGGCAAUGACUUCUAGAGUAAUAUGAGUGGAAGGACAAAUGCAUAGGGAUGAGAUGGAAAGGGAUUGGGAAAGCUGGCAACCAACAGCUACAAAUCGUGAGACUCCUAGAAAAUUUCAAUGGGACACCAAGUUUAAUAAUUUUUUCUAAAUAUAACUUCUCUAUGUAAAUACUCAUGUAGCAGCUAACCAAAAUCAUCAUGAGAAAAAAACUACACUUUGCUCGAGGGAGAGAAAAUCUAGCAAUUUCCACGCCAUUAAAAAAUUAGGUUGUUUCAGACUGGACAGCAGCGAAAUAGUAAAUAACAUUGUUUCAUUUUCCUGGGAAUGACUUCUAAAGUAAUAUCACGGCAAGGAUGAAUGCAUAGGGAUGAGAAGGAAAGGAAUUGGGAAAAAGCUGGCAACCAACAACUACUAAUUGUGAGACUUUUAGAAAAUUUAAAUGGAACCCCAAGUUUAAUAAUGUUUUCUAAAUAUAACUUCUCUAUAUAAAUAAUCAUGUAGCAGCUAACCAAAAAAAGACAUUAAUUUUUUAGCAAGUCUAGCCGCGCAAAUGCGCGGGUUAUAUUGCUAGUUGUUUAAAUAGCGAUGGGACACGAGGAGCCAACCGGCGUUCUGUUUAAUGCCAGCCGGCUGACGAACGAACAUGUGGCUGCAGUAAUUAUCCUGGCACACGCGCGGGUUUAAUGGUGGAAGGCGGGCAGUCUGGAGGAAUGAGGCAGGAUGUGUGUUUAGCCGGCGUGCAGCGGGGCGGUACCCUUGGCGUGCGUGGGGCGGUACUGGAGGCAUGAAUGUGGGCAGCCGGCGCAGAGCGGGAACACGUGUGUGCGAGAGAGGAGGGGGUUUGGGUGGGCACGAGUGGUCGGAAGCAGUCGUGGGUGUUGUCCGGACGCGUGCAAAGCCCCCCUCCCCCAUGUGUUGUCUCCGGUUUGCGGGAGAAAGUACGUCUGGACUGCCCUGUGGACCGAUACAAGCCCGCAUUAGAUGGCACAACAUGUCCGGACCAUGUGGUCCGGAUGGUUGUGGACGGUUUAAUUGAGGGUCGGCGUUGGAGAUGCCUUAGAGUUUAUGAAUCCAUUGUGUUUUCCUAAUCAUAAAAAAUCACUUAUAAUAAGUUAUAUGGAAAGACACGUAUAUAAGUUAGGUUCAGACUCCAGCUUUCCUCUUAUAUAUGUUUUCUUUUCUGAUCCGACUGAUUCCAAUAGAGUGAGCCUAGCGUUGUUUUUCUGGAAACUCGAUACACGUUCUUUCAAGCAAAUCACAUCCAUUCUUUUUAACUAAUUUUUUUCUUGUUUUAAUAAUAUAAUAAAUCAUUUGUAUUUCUUAUCUCGAACAGUUGACCUGUAAUUCCUAUUGUAAUCUAAGGAUAAUGUUUGGAUUUUACUUUCAAAUAUUUGAAAUGGCCAUGAUGGAAUCACAUCCAUUUAUUUUAUUAUUAUUUGAAUUUGAUCCAAAAGAUAAAUAAUGAGUAGACGUCCUGAAAACUUUUCUGAGAACUUUGGUAAUCAAAAGACAAAAAAGGUUUUAAGAACUGAAGCAAACCACGAAUUUUACUCUCUAUUUUACUAAAGCAAGUGGCUGCUAUUUAGGUCUAGUGAAUACCAAAUUGACCAACAACCUUUUUUCCAAAUUGGAAGGAAUGCAGUUCUCAGCUCUCACCGUGGUGAUUAUACAAUCUGGAUUUUCGAGCUGUAGCUAGUCAACUUAUGUUAGUGGCAUAUGUAACAUAGUGUUGGUCACUGGGAAUGGAUGAAGCCAUGAGUGAAGGAACAGGAAAUGACAGAAGUAUGAUUUGUAGAAUUUCAAAACUCAAAAUAUCUAGUUUUAUGGAGUGAUAUGAAAUAAGCAAACCAACUGCUUAUAAAAAUGUAAAAUUAAACGACAUAUUUAGAAAUGUGAUUGUGAAGUCAUUGUCACAAAAUAUGACCCCACUAAAAAUGAACAUUCAACCUUAUUUUCAGAAGUUUGCAUACAAAUCCCAUGUAAAUUAUGGUAGUGCUCACAAACAAAUAAACUAAAAUCGUGCUUGAUCCACCAUGAAACUUACUACCUUGUCUAUAUUCUUGAAGAGCUCAAAAAAUGCUGAAGCAAUGCCACCUAGCUAGAUAUAUACUUUUGUCAUGUCCAGAGAUUUCCUGCACCAUGAACAAGAAUGCCACCGCAAUAAUAGUCGCUCUUUUGCGACAAAAAAAAUACUGACUUUGGACAGCAAUGCCUGCACAACUACUAUCUGUACGCCAUGCAUGCACCCAUGUAUGUCAGUAAUACAUAUUAUAAGCUUGUGAACAUUGGUUUCAAAGUAGUGAUACCAACAAUACAUCAUCCAGUGAUGGCCAGUCGCAGUACCUAGAUGCCACUUCGGUGCCUGGUUUCAAAGUCGCAAGUUCAUGGCAGGGAAAGCAAUCAUGUGUCUAGAGUAGAGACUUAAAUAAAGACCCAUGCCAUGUAGAUGGAUCAGAUAAUUAUGCCAAUCCUGAUUUUUCAGUGCAAAUCCAGUUCUAAAAUUUCCACUUGUUUAGUUGCUCCCAAAAAGGGCUAUACAGUUAACCAAAAUGAAUUUUGCUCCUAACACCACAGUUUGUUUCCAACGAUCAAGAGAGCGAGCUUCACCAUAGUGAAGUGUGUUUGAUUAAGUACCUGAGCCGGUGUUGUACAUGCAUAUAUGAUAUGUUCACCGCUCCUACCGGAUGCCCGCCGCCGAACUCACCAUCCGUUCUACACAAGCAGCAAAACCGAUCAGAUAAGCUAUUUCGGUUGUUACUUGUAUAGUCUGAUGGAACGAUCAGUUCCAGAAUUACGCCAUGGCGCCAUCUUUUAUAUGCAAUAUACUGUGAACUGAAUUUUCUGUCAGUGAAGUUGACAGAACAGAGUACUACAGGGUAGAGGGGUAGAGCAUGCAAGUGGUGAUUGUUGUGUGGUUUUUACGUUAGUUAUUUGUGCACCGGGCGUCUAGGUAGCGUUGGCUGGCCAUCUGCAGCUCAUAGGCGCACGAGCACAGCGGUGGCACGCCCAGCACCGCCUCCACUGCCCGCAAGGACGCCACCUAGCCGCCGCCGUAUCUGGAGAAGAAGCAACAAGCAUGUAAGAGUUUGUCCGUGGACGCUCUAUGGAUCGACCUGAUCGAUCACUCGUUUUGUGCAUGCACCACCACACAUGGCUGAACCGAGCAUCCUCCUGGCGGCGCCCAGUGAGACCGUCCUCGCAGCGGCCACGGCUCGAUGGUUCGCCCCCGUGUGCACGGUACGUGCCGCAGCCUGCAGUCAAAACAGAGCGCGUAGAAGGUGAAGGCAAGGGGAGCUGGUGUGCUGGGAGGGAGACUCCUGGAGCUAGGGAGCACGCCGACGCCAUUGCUCAAGGUGCAAGUUUGUUUCAAUCUUCAAUCCUGCUCGCUGUUGAUUCUGGUUACAGUAAAUUUUAGCUAGAUAUGGUGUAACCUAAGUGUUAUGCCUAGUCUUAAUCUAUCUAUCUAUCCAAUCUUCUAUUCGGCGAGGUGGCUGCGCCUGUGGCAGAUGUGGCCGCUGCCAUGGCCGGCGCCAGACCUGGUCGAUCUCCCUCUUCUGUAUUUGAGAAAAAAAAUCUCCCUCUUCUCUUCUGAUGAGAAGGGGAAGAGGUGGUGAGAGAUGAAGUCGACGGCUUUGGGGAGAGGAUACGGGAGGACGCCGGUAGUGAGGCGGCAUGAGGAAGACAAGGUGGUUGGCAGCGGCGACGCGUGAGGGGAGGGCAAGGGAGGUGUAGUGGUGCAUGUUGAGGAGUGGGUGUGCAGCGUGCCCAGUUCUCGAGGGAGGAAGGAGGUCGUCAAGGGAGUGAUCCAUGGGAGUUUCUUUUCCUUCUGAGCGAGCCUAGUUGGGCUCUCUGCAGCGUCUAGGCCCAAUGCACCACAUGUCUUCAAAUUGGCCACCAGUAGCAGCCCAUAGAACAGACAGGGCCAGUUUACAAAUUUUAAAACAUAAGUUUUUUAGCGCCCAUGAAAAACAGAACACAUAUCUUUCCAAACAUAAUGAACUGUAGGUACCACCAAAAAAACCAUAAUGAACUAUAGGUUGUUACAAGAACUCAUGCCAUCCCACAGCCGCCCUCCCACCCUGCCAACAUUGUUGCAACUGCACUCGCAAGCGUUACCAUAGAUGAUCAUUUGCAUGAUUUCGCGUAAAACAAAAUAAGAUCUACAAACGAAUAGAAGCUACACAUACCUUGGCAUGCACACACAUUGGAAGCCAUACCAAGGUGAUAAGUGUUAAUAACUUGUACGACAUAUACAACAGUUAAGAUAAGUGAAAGCAAUUUGAUGAGUCAUGGUCUAUCAAAGCAAGCUUUAUUACUACUCUAAUCUAUCUUAACAGGUCACACAUGAUUACAAUCCUUUUUGUGUGCAAGUCAAGCUUAUCUAGUUUACACGUAACAACUUGUAGAACAUUACACAAUUGAUGUUUGCUAAUAACUUCUAGAAAGCUAAAACACUUGACAUGUAAAAAGAAUUUGAUGAGUCAUGACCUAGUAAAUCAAGUUACAUUACUAGUCUCAUCUAUCUUAACAGGUCACACAAGAUUACAAACUAAGUUCUGCGCAAGCAAUGCUUAUCUAGUUUACACAUAACAACUUGCAAAACAUUACAAAUUUAGUUUCAAAAAAUUAGGCAAUCUAGAUUAGUGUUUGAGUUGUAAAUUGAAUAAGAUGAGUCAUGUGUGUUAUCACAACUUUUUGGUGGUGGAAUGAUAGUGCCACCAAACGCAACAUACCAAAUUAUGAUUUUAGGAAGCAUCCAAGCACUUUCCAGACAAGCAAAUGCCAAUUGUGAAGGAGAUGAUGCCAUGGCAGCUAUAAAUAGGCCUGUAGCAUGAUGAUCAUCCUUCCUCAUCCAUCAUUCUCAUAAGUAGAGUGCAUCAUUCAAGCCAAGCAAGGAGUGGUCAAUACAAAUCCACCAUGAAGACCUUUCUCAUCCUUGCCCUCCUUGCUAUCGUGGCGACCACCACCACAACUGCAGUUAGAGUUCCAGUGCCACAAUUGCAGCCACAAAAUCCAUCUCAGCAACAACCACAAGAGCAAGUUCCAUUGGUGCAACAACAACAAUUUCUAGGGCAGCAACAACAACAAUUUCCAGGGCAACAACAACCAUUUCCACCACAACAGCCAUAUCCGCAGCCGCAACCAUUUCUGCCACAACUACCAUAUCCGCAGCCGCAACCAUUUCCACCACAACAAUCAUAUCCACAACCACAACCACAAUAUCCGCAACCACAACAACCAAUUUCGCAGCAACAAGCACAACUACUACAACAACAACAACAACAACAACAACAACAACAACAACAACAACAAAUCCUUCAACAAAUUCUGCAACAACAACUGAUUCCAUGCAGGGAUGUCGUCUUGCAACAACCCAAUAUAGCACAUGCAAGCUCACAAGUAUCGCAACAAAGUUACCAACUGUUGCAACAAUUAUGUUGUCAGCAACUGUGGCAGACCCCCGAGCAGUCACGGUGCCAAGCCAUCCACAAUGUCAUUCAUGCUAUUAUUUUGCAUCAUCGUCAUCAACAACAACAACAACAACAACAACAACAACAACAACAACCGUCGAGCCAGGUCUCCUACCAGCAGCCUCAGCAACAAUAUCCAUCAGGCCAGGGCUUCUUCCAGCCAUCUCAGCAAAACCCACAGGCCCAGGGCUUUGUCCAACCUCAGCAACUGCCGCAGUUCGAGGAAAUAAGGAACCUAGCGCUGCAGACGCUACCAGCAAUGUGCAAUGUCUACAUCCCUCCAUAUUGCUCGACCACCAUUGCGCCAUUUGGCAUCAUGAGUACUAACUGAGAAGAGAAGAACUCUAUUACUAGAUAUAUGAAACACCGUUUUCUUAAAACAUGGUUUGGUCGUUGUAGCGGUGAAAAAUAAAGUGACAUGCACUAUCAUGUAAGAACCCGAACUAGACUAUUUCAAACUUGGAAAUAAAAGACAAACACAGGUCUUGUCUGCAUAUGAUUGUUUGUUUGAGUUCCAUUCAUGUGCCCGUUCACAAGUUCACCCCUAAUUAUAUAUAUUAAGCAUUAGUUAGAUGUUUAUGUGCAUUAAUCUAAAGAUAACAAAAUGAAUCUGAAACUUGAAUUUAAUUAAAGUAUUUUCUUGGACUUUCAAAUUGAGCAUUGAUAGUGAGGACUAUCCACAUCCUUGGCUUGCCCUUGAUCAAUUAUUUCCAAAGAAGCAUUCAAUUCAUCAGUCACUUACAUUGAUUUUUGUGGCUUGUACUUCUCCUCAACAUGAGUAUCUUCAUUGCAGCUACUCCAAAUCUGCCACAUAACUGAAGCAUUAAUAGUGCUCUUCCUUGCAUCAAGGAAAUAUGGAUCGAAGAUAUCUCUUGACCAUGUUUUCGGGUGCAACCUUGGGAGUUUUAUGUCAAAAUAUUCUCAAGAAGAAUCCAAGAAUAAACUUGCAUGCUCACGUGUGAAAAGGGCAUAUGAAGUAACAUUUCCUCACCAAGGCCACACAUAGGGCACACACAUAACCCCAUCACAUGCCUUUUUAGUUAUGCAUAUGAAGGUAGGAUGUUUUUAAUUACUCUGCACCAAAAUACUCUUAACUUGGAUUGUACCCUAAGCUUUCGUUGCCUUUUACAUUUUUCUUCCCCAUUAGAUGAACUAGAUAGUCCAGCUACCACACGAUACCUUGUGUUCAUCUCGGCUCUGUACAACAAUUGAACAGAAGAAAUGUCAUUUCUUUACCAUACCCAUGACCAAAUGUUCUCUGCUACUCCCUCCGUCCCAAAAUACUGCCAUCCAUGUCGACAACAAUGAGUCAUAUAGGACCGCUAUGCCUCUGUUGAAGGAGGUGGUGGAGCGAUCCGGAGAUUAUUCUGCCAUCCAUGUUGAGUAAAACCUCACUGGCCACUUGCUCCAACCGCAUACACACCGCCAUAAACAACGGUUGGUACUCAGUUCGGUGUAGCAUACACCAUGUAGGAAGCGAGUGCUUACUCCUAGCUACUGAAUUAUGUACACCAAAUAAACCCAUUUACACGAAGUUAAUGACAAAAAAGUUGAUGCUUGCUACGCAGAUGUGUAGUACAAAUUAAGAAGUGCAAGAUAAAAAGAUGCUGGUCCUUGAUUCGUUGUUGAUCCUGAGCAUGCCAUCAUCAACUUGUAGUUAAUUAUCAUACAAAUUGGCUCUUUCAUAGAGUUGGAGGCUAGCUCCUUGGAUCAGCACGCGCUUAAACACAAAGAACACGUAUAUGUAUUCUCUCCGAAGUUCAACUCUUGAUUGGCCAGCAAAAAUGGUCCGACCGGGUAGAGGAAAGGCAUGUUUGCUAGUACGCCUGGAGGAAAUGCCUUUGAUUAGGGCAUCUCCAACGGCGACCAGUAAAUUUUCUCCCAUAUUUGUCCACGGACAAGGGAUCAGUCCGUGGAUAUGGAUAUAGAAAUCGGCCAUCCAACGUUGUCCGCAUAUAUUUCGAACACUUCUUUUAAAAAAUCGAAUGAAAUUCAUGCAAACACAGUGGAUUCCAUACAAACCGGACAAAAACGUUUACAUUUUGGACAUAUUUUUAACUAAAAACUCUACAGCCGGCACCGGCGACGACGAAUAUCCUCCGGCGACAUGGAUACCCUUGACUAGUCUACUGCCGGCUGCAGCGGAUCUCCAAUGUCAUCCCCAUGUCCGGCAGCUGUGAGCCCUAGGUAUAUGCUUCAACGCAAAGAGCAGCUCGCCUCCCUACCACUCAUCGGAGUGGAACAACCAACUGAUGCUUCUGCCAAUGGGAAAGGGUUCCUACGCUACAUAGGUCAGAGUUGGUUUUGGGUUGGGAACGGUGGUGGCCUGCCAGAGGGCAAGACACCGGCUGUGUACGCUGGUGUCACCUCAAUAUGGCAUUCAUGGGACCCAAGCGACAGCUUCUCCUCGACUAUUGUGGCGAGCACAGACGUGUUGGACACCACCUCGUCGAUGUCCAUGCAGCCCGCUUCUUUCUCUGUAGUCAGGACGCGGUGACACGCGCUUUGACAUAGGAUGACGCGCUCACAGGCACGGGAGGGGCGGUACAACAUGGCACCAUCAAUGGCAGCCAUGAUGCCCGUGCCACUGUGGUCCCUCUCAGUGUCGACCUGGAGCAACUCGCCACUCCUCGGCUCGUGACCGGCGGGGUUGACGGGCCACCUAGCUAUUGUUUAUGCGAGACAACUCUUUUUCCUGCUCAUCAGAUGCCAAUAAGGAAGGAGGCCUGAUUGAUUUCUAACUGGAACACGCACAACUAACCUGAUGCCAACUAAUCAGAUGCCAAUAAGGAAGGAGGCCUCAACUUAGCUAUAGGAGGUGAAGGCAAGGGGAGCUGGUGUGCUGGGAGGGAGACUCCUGGAGCUAGGGAGCACGCCGACGCCAUUGCUCAAGGUGCAAGUUUGUUUCAAUCUUCAAUCCUGCUCGCUGUUGAUUCUGGUUACAGUAAAUUUUAGCUAGAUAUGGUGUAACCUAAGUGUUAUGCCUAGUCUUAAUCUAUCUAUCUAUCCAAUCUUCUAUUCGGCGAGGUGGCUGCGCCUGUGGCAGAUGUGGCCGCUGCCAUGGCCGGCGCUAGACCUAGUCGAUCUCCCUCUUCUGUAUUUGAGAAAAAAAAAUCUCCCUCUUCUCUUCUGAUGAGAAGGGGAAGAGAUGGUGAGAGAUGAAGUCGACGGCUUUGGGGAGAGGAUACGGGAGGACGCCGGUAGUGAGGCGGCAUGAGGAAGACAAGGUGGUUGGCAGCGGCAAUGCGUGAGGGGAGGGCAAGGGAGGUGUAGUGGUGCAUGUUGAGGAGUGGGUGUGCAGCGUGCCCAGUUCUCGAGGGAGUAAAGAGGUCGUCAAGGGAGUGAUCCAUGGGAGUUUUUUUUCCUUCUGAGCGAGCCUAGUUGGGCUCUCUGCGGCGUCUAGGCCCAAUGCACCACAUGUCUUCAAAUUGGCCACCAGUAGCAGCCCAUAGAACAGACAGGGCCAGUUUACAAAUUUUAAAACAUAAGUUUUUUAGCGCCCAUGAAAAACAGAACACAUAUCUUUCCAAACAUAAUGAACUAUAGGUACCACCAAAAAAACCAUAAUGAACUUUAGGUUGUUACAAGAACUCAUGCCUUCCAACAGCCUCCCUCCAACCCUGCCAACAUUGUAGCAGCUGCACUCGCAAGCGUUACCAUAGGUGAUCAUUUGCAUGAUUUCGCGUAAAACAAAAUAAGAUCUACAAACGAAUAGAAGCUACACAUACCUUGGCAUGCACACACAUUGCAAGCCAUACUAAGGUGAUAAGUGUUAAUAACUUGUACAACAUAUACAACACUUAAGAUAAGUAAAAGCAAUUUGAUGAGUCAUGGUCUAUCAAAGCAAGAUGCAUUACUACUCUAAUCUAUCUUAACAGGUCACACAUGAUUACAAUCCUUGUUGUGUGCAAGUCAAGCUUAUCUAGUUUACACGUAACAACUUGUAGAACAUUACACAAUUGAUGUUUGCUAAUAACUUCUAGAAAGCUACAACACUUGACAUGUAAAAAGAAUUUGAUGAGUCAUGACCUACUAAAGCAAGUUACAUUACUAGUCUCAUCUAUCUUAACAGGUCACACAAGAUUACAAACUAAGUUCUGCGCAAGCAAUGCUUAUCUAGUUUACACAUAACAACUUGCAAAACAUUACAAACUUAGUUUCAAAAAAUUAGGCAAUCUAGAUUAGUGUUUGAGUUGUAAAGUGAAUAAGAUGAGUCAUGUGUGUUAUCACAACUUUUUGGUAGUGGAAUGAUAGUGCCACCAAACACAACAUACCAAAUUAUGAUUUUAGGAAGCAUCCAAGCACUUUCCAGACAAGAAAAUGCUAAUUGUGAAGGAGAUGAUGCCAUGUCAGCUAUAAAUAGGCCUGUAGCAUGAUGAUCAUCCUUCCCCAUCCAUCAUUCCCAUAAGUAGAGUGCAUCGUUCAAGCCAAGCAAGCAGUGGUCAAUACAAAUCCACCAUGAAGACCUUUCUCAUCCUUGCCCUCCUUGCUAUCGUGGCGAUUGAGGGAGUCCUGGAUAAGGGGUAUCUGGACAGCCGGACUAUAUUCAUCGUCCGGACUAUAGAAGCGUCAAGACACAAGACUCAAGACUUCGGCUCGUGUCCGGAUGGGACUCUCCUUUGCGUGGAAAACAAGCUUGGCGACCCGGAUAUUAUGUUUCCUUCCUUGUAACCGAGUCCAUGUAAACCCUAGCUCUCCGGUGUCUAUAUAAACCGGAGAGCAUGGUCCUUACAAGGCCGACCACAAUUACAAUCAUACCAUCAUAGGCUAGCUCUUAGGGUUUAGCCUCUACAAUCUCGUGGUAGAUCUACUCUCGUAUUCCACAUAUCUUCAAUAUCAAUCAAGCAGGAAGUAAGGUUUUACCUCCAUCGAGAGGGCCCGAACCUGGGUAAACAUUGUGUCCCUUGCUUCCUGUUACCAUCAUCCUAAGACGCACAGAUUGGGACCCCCUACCCGAGAUCCGCCGGUUUUGACACCGACGUUGGUGCUUCCAUUGAGAGUUCCUCUGUGUCAUCGCUUCGAGGCUUGAUGGCGUCUUCAAUCGUCAACAACACGGUCCAGGGUGAGACUUUUCUCCCCGGACAGAUCUUUAUGUUCGGCGGCUUCGCACUGCGGGCCAAUUCAUUUGGCCAGUUGGAGCAGAUCGACAGCCUCGCCCCUGGCCACCAGAUCAGGUUUGGAAACUUGAACUACACGACAGAUAUCCGCGGAUACUUGAUCUUCGACGGAUUCGGGCCUGCGCCAGGAGUGCCGGAUAGCCACGACGAGCACGGCCUAGACCUGCUGUCGGAUAGUGCCCGGGACAUUAUCCCCGAAGCAGCCUUGGAUCUAAAUUCAGGACAGGUUGCGGCGCCUAUGGACGGAGGGCUGGACCCCGCUCCGCAGGCCGCACGCUUAUCGGCGGUGGAGCCGAACACUGGCCCCCCCUGUAACCCCGGACCCCCGGACUCAUAUCCGGAUGUUGGUCCUGGUCCGCUCACUCUCGAGCCAGCCGAGCCAGGUUGGGCUCCGGUAAUGGAGUUUACCGCUGCGGACAUCUUUCAGCACUCGCCCUUUGGCGACAUGCUGAGCUCAUUGAAGUCUCUCUCUUGGUCAGGAGACUCUGGGGCGAACUAUGUCCGACCCGAGUGGGAAGCAUGCGAUGAAGGAAUUCGGCGCCCACCCACCACCCACUUCAUUGCCACGAUCAAAGAAUUAGCCGACGUGCUCAACUCCGGAGACAUCGAUGGUAUGGACGACGAUGCAGGAGAGGCUCCAGAACACCUGGAGCGCGGGACUACUACCUUGUCACACGACAUAUACAUGGUAGAUACGCCCAAUAAGGACGGCAACCCGAACGAUAAAACACCCGGGCAAAAGCCAAAGAGGCGGUGCAGACGCCGCUCAAAGUCUAGCAAUGGCAAAAAUAGAGACAAGAGCGCAAGAAGGGUUGAUAUACCCGCAAACUCUGAAAGCAAUAAUGACCACAUGGACCCAACGAUGGAGCAGGACGAGCCAGGUCACACCAAAUAAAGUUCGGAGAAAAUACCCGAUCACAACGAUCCGGAGGGACGAGCUCAUGAUGCCACCCCAGAACAGGAAGACAAUCUGGACAACGAUGCAUUCAUCAUCCCGGACGAACAAGUGGAACGAGACAACCUCCACAGAAAGCUUAUGGCCACCGCAAGAAGUCUAGAAAAGCAGAAGCAACGGCUCAAGGCUGCACGGGAAAAGCUAAGUCGCAGAUGGAACAGGGUGCUAGACACCGAAGAAAGAUAUGGCGAUGACCGUCAUACGAAAAGCUAUCCGAAGCGCAAGCUGCUGCCAGAAUUCGACGAUGCGGCCGUUCCGCCAAAAGAAAAUUCGACCAAGAAACCAGACGUACCGCCUCACAACCAUAAUAGAGCGGCCGUGGACACUGCGCACGAUCCACGCGGGCAUCCGAAUAAAAAGACCGGUGCAGCCAGGUCCAUAUAUGGAUCUAGAAGACACACCCCAACGCAGAACUAUGGUCACCCAAACAUUCAUAAAAGCCAGAUACCAGUUCGGAAUCAACCCCGGACACAACAACAGCCAACUACAUGCCACAACGCGUCCAGAUACAGAGGGGCUGCUUACCACCUGUGCUUCACCGAAGAAGUACUGGACCAUGAAUUCCCACAAGGAUUUAAACCUGUGAACAUAGAAGCAUACGCCGGCACGACAUACCCAGGGGUCUGGAUCGAGGAUUUUAUCCUACAUAUUCACAUGUCUCAUGGGGAUGACCUCCACGCCAUCAAAUACCUUCCCCUCAACUUGAAGGGACCAGCUAGACACUGGUUGGAAAGCCUCCCCGAAAACUCAAUUGGGAGUUGGGAGGUGAAAGGAUCGAUAUAGUUGGGGGGGGGGGUGAAUAGGAAACUAACAAUUUUUAAGCUUUUCUUUACCAAUUUAAACUUUGCAUCAAAAUAGGCUGUCUAGAUAUGCAACUAUGUGAGCAACCUAUAUGAUGGAAUAACAACUAGCACAUAAGCAAGCAAUGGAUACAACACAAGUAAGCUUGCAAAAGUAAAGGCAUGAAAUAACCAAGAGUGGAGCCGGUGGAGACGAGGAUGUGUUACCGUAGUUCCUUCCUUUUAAGGGGAGGUACGUCUCCAUUAGAGCGGUGAGGAGGCACAAUGCUCCCCAAGAAGCCACUAGGGCCACCGUAAUCUCCUCAUGCCCUCACACAAUGCGAGAUGCCGUGAUUCCACUAUUGGUGCCCUUGAAGGCGGCGACCGAACCUUUACAAACAAGGUUGGGGCAAUCUCCACAACUUAAUUGGAGGCUCCCAACGACAGCAUGAAGCUUCACCACAAUGGACUAUGGCUCCGAGGUGACCUCAACCGUCUAGGGUGCUCCAACACCCAAGAGUAACAAGAUCCGCUAGGGAUUAGUGGGGGGAAUCGAAUAUCUCUUGGUGGAAGUGUAGAUCGGGGCCUUGUCACCCAAUCCCGAGCAAAUCAACAAGUUUGAUUGGCUAGGGAGAGAGAUCGGCCGAAAAUGGAGCUUGGAGCAACAAUGGAGCUUAGGGAUGGAAGAGGUGGUCAACUAGAGGUAGGAGACACACCUUUUAUAGUGGAGGACAACAUCCAACCGUUAUCCACUUAGACCAGCCUGCGACAUGUGGUACUACUGCUCCAGGAGCGCGGUAUUAUCGCAAGGCCAUGCGGUACUACCGUGGGAGACCACGGUACUACCGUGGCAGCUACAGAGAUUAUAAGACAAGCAGUACUACCGCGAGCGCGGUACUACCGCUCCCACCUGCGGUACUACCGCGAGGCAGGUAAGUCCUAGUCUGGAAACGGCACGGAUGAAUAAAAAUACAUCCGUGCCUACUUCCGUGGUCAAAGAGACGAUGCAAACAUCCGUCACGGUACUACCGUGCACAAGGCGCGGUACUACCGUGUGUGCGCAGAUGUAAAAAAUUACAUCCGCCCCUACUACCGUGAAGCAACGGCACUAGGCCAGGGAACCACGGUACUACAGCUCGGGGGGAGCGGUACUACCGUGGGCACCCACGGUACUACCGCCCUCAACGUGUGGUACUACCGUGUGGGCGCGGAUGUAAAAAUUUACAUCCGCGCCUACUACCGCGAGGCAGCGAUACUUGGCCAGGGAGCGACGGUACUACGACUCCGAAUGAGCGGUACUACCGUGGGCUCCCGUGAUACUACCGCACAUGGGCACGGUACUACCGCAAGUGCUUGCGGUACUACCGCUCCAGGGAGCAGUACUACCGCAAGCUCAGCAACAGUAGUCCAGACACUCACAUAGAGGAUAGAUGGGGAAUGCUCCAAAGUGCAAGGGAAAGGAGGAGACAAGGAAGGAAACGUGUACGUGAUGAUUCCACCCGAACCUUUCUGACGUGGACCCCCUCUUAAUAGUACGGCUCUCCAACGACUCAAAUCCACCAAAAAGAAACAUAGAAAUACGCCGUCUUCAAUAGUCUUCGAGGGGCACCGAACCGUCUUGUGCCUAGCGAUGAAGCAACUGAGAAACUCAAGGCACACGAUUAGUCCGCUAAAGCAUUGUCAUCAAUCACCAAAACACUUAGGGAUAAAAAUGCCCUUACAAUAUCCCCCUUUUUGGUGGAUGACAAUACGGGAUUUUCACAAGGGAAAAAAUAAUGAGCAUAGGCAAACCCCUCCUCUCUAAAAUGUAGACGGGCUCCCCCUAGAUGUGUGCAAUCUAGAUGGAUGCUUUGGACUGCACAACACACUAGCUAGGAUUAACACUCCCCCUAUAUUUUAGAGACAAGGCAUGUAAGACUAACAAUCUAAGUAAGUGCAUAAACAAAGGUAGCACAAUAUAACACUAGCUCACUAAGAUAGGUAGAGUGCAUAUGUCUUACACCAUAUGAGGGACAAACUAAACCAAAUCAACCGAAACAACCGAAACGAGGUUCAAAUGAGACACGCAAACACACGAAACACGACACACGACUCACAAAUCCCUACACUCUCUCCUCCUUUGGCAUCGAGACGCCAAAAAGGCAGAGAGGACACCUACACACAAGUGGUGGCUCAAGCAGAGAAAUCAUCCCAAUGAUCCUCUUCAGACCCGGCAGCAAGAAUGGUCUCCUCGACGUCCUCCUUAGAAUCAGUCCACUUGUAGCCUUGUUUCUCCAUCCACUCAACCUCUGGAGUAAUGUGAUCCUCAGACCCACCAGACACGUCCUCUCCAUACAGCUUCAGAAUCUUCUUGUCAUGGCGACGACUCUCCUUGGAUGCCACGUGAGUCCUGUACUGCCCCUUAGCUUGUAUGCAUAAAAGAGUCUUCAUCUUGUCCUUCAGCUUCUUGGCCCACAAGGGCAUAGAGGAACUAUGGGAAGACCCAGCAGCACGGUUAGCAGCAACAUCCUCUGCUUCAGCCUCAUCCUCAUCAACAACCCUCUUAGCAGUAGUCGCCUCAGCACGAGUAGUAGUGUUGGCCCAUUUGGACUUGACACGGAGACUGAUGGGAUCAUGCCGAAUCCAGUCAGGAGCAAGGAACUCAUCACCAGGGUACUGCUUCGCCCAAGUCUUGGAGAUCAACAGAAACAUGUAUGGUCCAUAGAUAGGCACCUUGCUGUUGAACACCGCAAACCGAAGCUCACACCACAUGAUGUGUGUGACAUCAAGUGGCUGAGUCUGAGAUACGCGAGCCUCCUCGCAGAGGAGCAUCAUAUCCACCAUAUAGGCAUGGACCUUGUCCUUGUCACCAAUGCGAGGGAACAGAGAGUUGCGGAAGAUGCGAUACAUGAUAUCCAGAAAAGAGUUGAGCAUCCACGUUGACUUGCUAUUGGCAAGCACCUUCUCAACAUAGAACGGCUGAAGCUUGUCCUUGUUCGCAGACUCAGAAUUGGCAUGGGGGCGAACACCCACUGGUGAGUUGAGCCCGUCAUCAGGAACCUGGAGCAGAUCCAUGAACUCCUUCCAGGUAGCAGUCAACUGACGACCAUUGGUCGUCCAGGUCAUCCUCCGCUCCUCCCCAGGGUGAAAGAACACUGAGGCAAAGAACUGACAAAUAAGCUCAGGGUCAUAGUCAAGAUGGAAAGAGAUCACAUGCUCAAUAUCAAACUGCUCCACCAAAUCCAGAGCUUCUCCAAAGUACUCACGAUACAUAUCCUUCCUCAGGUGAUGCAUGUCUAUCCACCUGACAUCCACAUAGGUAUUUUGCUUGUUCUUGAUGACAUCCAGAUAGGUGAGAGUCUGCUGCUUGUUCGAAAACAACUCACAGCCUCUAACGGUAGCACGAGGAAUCACAUACGGGUUGAGCUGCCUGAGACGGAUGUACUCAGAUUGGGGUAUCUCGUCCAUGCCCUUAGCGGGUUCCUUGUGCUUGCUAGCGGUGGCCUUGACAUGGCGCUUGGGGGCAGAGGAGGAGCCCUCUGGUGCAUCACUUGGAUUGCACAGACGCUUGGAGCCAGUGUCACGACUGGGAUUGGAACGACGAGAGCCACCACCUGAGACACAAAAUGCAAAACACCCACGACAGGCAAAAAGGAUCAAUGCAAAGACCACGGCAAAGCACAAGAACCACAUAGGAAGUAUACGUGAAAGUUUCCAUGAGAUAGAUGGGAUCCACGGUAGUACUGCCGGAUGCGGUGGUACUAAAAUUUUAGUACCGCUCCAAGUCGCAGUAGUACCGGGGUGGGAGCGGUAGUAAAAUUUUAGUGUCGUAGCGUGCACGGUAGUACCGCGCCUGACGGGCGGUAGUACCAGACAAGCGGUAGUACCGCAUAGGUGGCGCGGUAGUACUGCACCGCGUCAGAUCCAAACCAAAGUUUGAAUCUGAGAAGAACCGCGAAACCACGGCGGUACUACGGUUGAUCAAAUCUAGCACAGGACAAAAAGACAAGUAUAAUCCCUACACGAUACUACUCUCCUACAGCCUACUCUUGCAUAGAUUUAGCCUAAAAUCUCAAGAACACACAAGUCUUCCCCACAAACCUAGAGGCAAAGAAAACAACAAAAGCGAGAGGGAGUUGGGAAAAGACCCUUGCCCAUGGCAAGAGCACGUGGUGGGGAAUGAUCCCACCGAACGGAAUCGCAGGAGAGCAGCCGGAGGCGGAGAUCCGGCGAAGGACCCCGGCCCCGUUCUUGAGCGAGGGAGAGAGAGACGAAGUGGGAAACUGAUGAAUGGGUAUGGGGGAGUUGGAACUCCCCCUCCCCAUCCUUAUCCCCACGCGUCAAAGAUGUCGCGGUAGUACCGCACAUCAUCACGGUAGUACCGCUUGGGUGGAACUACCGCACCGAAGCAGUAGUACCGCUCUCCCAGGCGGUAGUAAAAAAUUACUGCCGCGUGGGGCGGUAGUACCGAGAUCUCCACACGCGUAGUACCGUAGCAUGCUGCGGUAGUACCGUGAGCUCAAGAAAAAGCAGGUUUCAACACAAAAGAGGUCUUUGCAAGGAAACUUUUAGCACAAGAGACACCACAAGAACACGCACAACCCAAAGGCAGAAAGACAACAAGAAGCAACCACGCAACACACCCUCUCAAAAAGCGAGGGCGGUGGCCGGAGCCACCUAUGUUUGAGUCAGUUUGUAUGGCACCGCAAAGAAUUAUCCUUGGGCCCAUGACCGAAACUCAUCUUUGAAGCACAAGUUCCAUAAAAAAUGGUUAAUGUGACAGAGUUGAUCGAUUUAUGCAUAAUGGGGGAGGGAGGGUUCAUUGAGAGAACGGUACUCCCCCUAUGUCCAUGCCCACACCUAAACUAGACAACAAGUUGAGUGAGGUGGGGUGUGCACAGGCUCAAGUCACAUUGCUCGAACCAAUGAUAUUUAGCUCAUGCCUUAACUCGCGAAAUCGUGCUUCAUCAAAGGGCUUCGUGAAAAUAUCUGCAAGGUUAUCAUGAGUGUUGACAUACUUGAGCUUGAUCUCCCCUCGCCUACUGUGAUCCCGGAUGAAGUGAUACCGAAUCUCAAUAUGCUUCGUCUUGAAAUGUUGCACCGGGUUGAGAGAAAUCUUGAUGGCACUUUCAUUGUCACACCAAAGAGGCACUUUGUCACAAAUGACACCAUAUUCCUUUAAAGUUUGCCUCAUCCAUAAGAGUUGUGCACAACAACUACCGGCCGCCACAUAUUCCGCUUCGGUGGACGAGAGAGACAAACAACUUUGCUUCUUGGAAGACCAACUCACCAAAGAGCAACCAAGAAAUUGGCACCCUCCAGAAGUGGACUUCCUAUCCACCUUGUCUCCCGCCCAAUCGGAAUCCGUAAAUCAUUCAAGCUUGAAGUUAGCUCCUCUUGGGUACCAUAGGCCAAAGUUUGGGGUAUGAGCCAAAUAUCGAAAGAUUCGCUUGACCGCCACAAAGUGGCUUUCCUUUGGUGCGGCUUGAAACGGUGCACACAUUCCCACACUCAACAUGAUAUCUGGUGAUGCACAAAGGUAAAGCAAGGAUCCAAUCAUAGAGUGAUAUACCUUUUGAUUCACCGCUUUACCAUUGGGAUCAAUGUCAAGUUGGCACUUGGUGAGCAUUGGAGUAGAGGCCGGAUUGACAUCACUUAGCUUGAAUCUCUUAAGCAUGUCUUGAGUGUAUUUGGCUUGGUUGAUGAAGGUACCUUCUCUUUUUUGUUUGAUAUCAAAACCAAGGAAGAACUUUAACUCUCCCAUCGAAGACAUCUUGAACUCAGAGGUCAUGAGAGCGGCAAAUUCUUCAUUGAAAGCAUUGUUAGGGGAACCAAAGAUAAUGUCAUCAACAUAUAGUUGGCACACAAACAACUCCCCUUUUACCUUCUUAGUAAAAAUAGUGGGACCGAUUUGCCCAACUUCAAAUCCACGAUCUUGUAACAACUCGGUAAGGUGGUCAUACCACGCACAUGGGGCUUGUUUAAGGCCAUAGAGUGCCUUAUCGAGUUGAUACACAUGAUCCGGGAAGUAAGGAUCCUCGAACCCGGGGGGUUGCUUGACAUAAACCAACUCAUUAAUAGGACCAUUAAGAAAAGCACUUUUCACAUCCAUUUGUUGUAACUUAAAGUUGUGAUGGGAAUCAUAAGCAAUCAACAAACAAAUGGAUUCAAGGCGAGCAACAGGAGCAAAGGUUUCACCGUAGUCGAUACCGUCGACUUGGGAGUAGCCUUGUGCUACCAAUCUUGCCUUGUUGCGAAUGAUGUUCCCAUGAGCGUCUUGCUUGUUCUUGAAAAUCCACUUGGUUCCAAUGACAUUAUGGUUCCCCGACGGCCGUGGCACCAAUCUCCACACCUUGUUGUACUCGAAGUUGUUAAGUUCUUCAUGCAUGGCAUUGAGCCAAUCUGAAUCUUCGAGCGUCUCAUAGACCUUUUGGGGUUCAACACAAGAGACAAACGCGUGAUGUUCACAAUAGUUUGCUAAUUGUCUACGAGUGCUUACCCCCUUUCUUAGGCUUCCAACCACAUUCUCCAUAAGAUGGCCUUUGGUGGUGAGCUUGGAAGCAAUCUUUGCGGCACAACGCUCUAGUUCCUCCUCGGAUGUGGAGGAAGGAGGAUCAACUUGAUUAUCUUGAGCGCCGUCUUGAGCUUGUUCGAGAUCUUGAUCUUGCUCUUGAUCUUGAACUUGCUCAAGGGGGAAAACUUGACCUUGGGCAUCAUUUGGUGGAUCACCACCAUCUUGAGUUUGAUCUUGCCCUUGGUCUUGUUUAUGAGGUUGCGAGCCUUCACUUUGUUGUUCGGAAGCAUGUGGGUCUUGGGGAGGUGAUGGCUCCACUUGAGUGGAGCAUUGUCCUUCUCCUUCGGCCACAAGGGGUUCCUCAAUGGGUAGAAUAUGACCAAUACCCAUUCUUCUUAUGGCUUGGGGAGGAAUUUCAUCACCUACAUCACAAGUACCACUUUGCUCCACUUGGGAGCCGUUAUUUUCGUCAAACUCCACGUUACACGUCGCCUCAAUGAGUCCGGUGGACUUGUUGAGAACACGGUAAGCAUGAGAGUUUGUAGCAUAACCAACAAAUAUGCCCUCAUAAGCUCUAGCCUCAAAUUUAUACAAACGGACACCCUUUUUGAGAAUGAAACACUUACACCCGAACACCCGGAAGUACUUGAGAUUGGGCUUGUUACCGGCGAGGAUUUCAUAAGGAGUCUUGUUCAAGCCUUUGCGGAGAUAGAGCCGAUUUGAUGCAUGACACGCGGUGUUGAUGGCUUCGGCCCAAAAGUUGUAUGGAGACUUGAACUCCGCCAUCAUGGUCCUUGCCGCAUCCAUCAACUUCCGGUUCUUCCUCUCCGCAACACCAUUUUGUUGAGGGGUGUAUGGAGCUGAAUAUUGAUGCUUGAUCCCCUCAUCACUAAGGAGCUCGUCCAAGGUGUAGUUCUUGAACUCGGUGCCGUUGUCACUUCUUAUUGUCAAGAUCUUUGCAUCAUGUUGUCAUUGAGCUUCAUUUGCAAAGUCGAUGACGGUUUGUUGGGUUUCACUCUUCCUCUUGAAGAAAUAUACCCAAGUAUAUCUUGAAUAAUCAUCCACAAUCACCAAGCAAUACUUUAUUCCCCCAAGACUAUCAAAGGAUGGAGGCACAAAGAGGUCCAUGUGAAGGAGCUCCAAGGGUCUCUUCGAGUAGAUGAUAGUCGUGGGAGGGUGAGCCGUCUCAUGAAGCUUUCCUUCGAUACAAGCACUGCAAGCAUGAUCUUUGGCAAAACUAACAUUUUUUAGUCCACGGACAUGGUCCCCCUUGAGAAGACUUUGCAAAGAUCUCAUAUUGACGUGGGCUAAACGGAAAUGCCAAAGCCAUCCCACAUCAACUUUAGCCAUUAGGCAUGUCGCGGUCUUAGUGGGUCGCUCCGAAAAGUUAAUCACAUAGAGACCGUUCUCGACAUGCCCAACAAAGGCUACUUUAAGAGUCUUGCUCCACAAUAGGGCCACGGUAUCAACAUCAAAGAAGGUGGCAAAGCCCAUGAGUGCGAGUUGACGAACGGAAAGUAAAUUGUAUGCAAGGGACUCAACAAGCAUGACUUUCUUGAUCGUUAGAUCAUGAGAAAUGACAACCUUGCCAAGACCCAAUACCUUAGAAUGUGAGGCAUCACCCCACUCGACAUUUUUGGGCAUAGAUGGGAUCUUUUGCACGUCCACCACCAAGUCCUUGCUCCUGGUCAUAUGAUUUGUUGCUCCACUAUCGAGCAACCAUGAUCCCCCACCAGAAGCAAACACCUACAAGAGAUCAAUGCUUGGUUUAAGGUACCCAUUGAGUAAUGGGUCCUUUGAUGUUAGUAACAAGGGUCUUAGGAACCCAAAUAUACCAUUCAAUGUACUCAUAAGAAGAACCAACAAAUUUAGCAUAAACAUGCCCAUCACUAGCACGGCACAACACAUAAGAAGGGUUAAAGUCGCCGACUUUGUUGGGAGAGGUGACUUUGCCCUUUUUGGCAUCACCACUCUUUGCAGUGUUCUUCUUCUCCUUAGGAGUACCCUCUCCCUCCUUCACAAAAGUUUUCUUAAGCGGGGGAGGUCGUUUGAUCUUGUCAUUCUUCUUCUGGUUCUUCUUCUUGUUCUUGGACUUGGGUGAGAACCCACCUCCCUCCUUUGCCACAACUUCAUUUUGAUUGCUCAAAAGGUCAUUUAGGUUCUUCUCACCUUGUAUGCAUGACACAAGGACUCUCUCGAGUUGUUCCUUCAACUUGGCAUUCUCCUCCACAAGAUGCACAUGCUCACAACACGGGUCAGUAGCAUUUGCGUUAUCAAUUAAGAUUAAGUGAGGAAAGGUGGCCUUCUCCUUGGUUAGCUUAACUUGGAGUUGAGCAUGAGACUUCUUGAGGUUAGUAUGAGCACCCUUCAAGACCUUGUGGGCCUUGUCAAGCACAUCAAACUCCUCCUUGACUCUAGCAUGAUCAACCCCAAGUUUAGCCUUCUUGGAAGUCAGCACACGAGACACAACAAGAGCAUGAUCGAGAUCUUCCUUUAACUUGGCAUGGUCAUCGUUUUGUGACUCCUCAAGAGCCAAACGAUGCCCACACUCUUCCUCAAGAGCAUUAGAGAGAUCCGAUAUCUCAUCGACAUAGUCAUGACUAUGACCUUCCAUCUUAGAGAUGGUUUCUUUGUGAGCCUCGAUCAUGUCAUUGGCUUCACCAAGUUGUUCCAAGAGAGCAACAAAGUGCUUCUUGGAUUUGCCCUUGAGCUUACUCAUAAAGGACUCAAAAUCAUUUACCUCCUCAUUAGACCCCUAACCAUCAUCAAUCCCAACCGUCAAACAAGGAUUAGGAAUAAUGGUGGUUUUGAUGUUGGGGGUUACCUUGUUGGUGGCUUUAGCCAUGAGGCACUUGGCGGUGAUGUUCUCGUUGGGUGAAUCGAAGAGAGACACCCGGGAGUUGUGGCAAUGGCAACGGAUGCCAUGGCCAUUGAUUCACUAUCUUCAUCAUCAUCGUCAUCCUCACGGUACUCCUCUUGAACCACCAACCCUUGAGUAGGAGUCUUCUUGGUGAAGUUGUUCUUGUUGGGGAAAGACUUGGCUUUGUCUCUCCGGAUGAGCUUGCCACCAUUGUCUUCCCGCUUCUCGUAAGGACAAUCCGCAACAAAAUGGCUCACAUUGCCACAGUUGAAACAAGUUCUAACUCGUUGCUUGCUCUUGAAGCCACUUGAGUUGUUCUUGUUGAAAUUGGGUCUUGAGUUCUUCUUGCUCCAAAAUUGCCUUGAAGCGAGAGCCAUGUGCUCGUGAUAAUCAUAUUUUGUAUCUUCGGUAUUGCUCUCCUCAUCUUCCUCUUCUUCCUCUUCUUCCACAAUAACCUUGGCCUUCAAGGCAAGGUUGGGCUUCUUUGCUCCUUGAGACCGGAGCACCGCAUUAUCGGCGGUCUUGUCCAAGAUGCUCAUUGCAACGAACUCAUCCAACACUUAACUUGAGGUCAUGGAGUGGAAGUCCGGCCUUUGACGAAUGACGGAGGACAUGGACUUGUUGUAGGGCAUCAUGGCCUUGAGAAACUUGCGUUUGAUCCAAUUGUCAUACGUGUCCUUGCUCCCAUGAUCUCGGAGCGAGACCGCAAGUUUGGUUACUCUCCGAAAGAGCUCACGAGGUUCUUCAUCUUCCUUCAUAGCAAACUCAUCGGCUUCAUCUUGCACUACUUCAUAGUUGGAGCAUUGAAUGCUCGCGCUUCCCCAAUAAAGAGACACAACGCACCGCCUCGCGUCUUUGGCCGUGGAGUAGGGUCGAAGAUGAGGGAGAUCUUUGGGGAGAAUUGCUUCUUGGUUGAUGAAGAGAGCAUUCUCAUUGAAUUGAUUAUCCACGGCUUCUUGAGGGGUGAAGUUGCUUGGGUCAUGUGGAUAGAAACCUUCUUCAAUGAUUCUCCAAAGAUUAGUAUUCACAUGCUUUAAAUGACGCUUGAAGCGAUACACCCAAGAAUCAAAAUCCUCAUUUUUCACAAUCUUAGGAGGAGGACCGACAUGAUUUAAAUGAGUAGACGGAAUCGGUCCACCAUAAGUUGGAGGUUCCACAUGGGCAAAGAUGCCGGAACCAUUUUUACCGCUUGUAGAAGGACCCUUUUCACUGUUAGCUUCCCCUUGUCGGAGGUAGCAUCCGUCACCUUGUUAGCGGGAUCACCCACUUUCAUCAGCGAGGUGGACAAUUUAAGUCCUUCUAAAAAUUUAGUAAACAUGCUUUCAACCUUGGUCCUCAUGGAGUCUUUCAAUGUGUCUAGAGCCACAUUGAAUUCCUCACGAGAGACCGAGGUUCCCCCAUCGGCCAUAGACGAGGUAGGAUUCACGCCGGAGUGCUCUUCCACAACGUCUAUGGCGUCAACCAUACUCUUCGGACGGCAAAGUCCUUAAUAAAGAGACGAAGCUCUGAUACCAAUUGAAAGGAUCAAUAUAGUUGACUAGAGGGAGGGGUGAAUAGGCAACUAACAAUUUUUAAGCUUUUCUUUACCAAUUUAAACUUUGCAUCAAAAUAGGUUGUCUAGAUAUGCAACUAUGUGAGCAACCUAUAUGAUGCAAUAACAACUAGCACAUAAGCAUGCAAUGGAUACAACACAAGUAAGCUUGCAAAAGUAAAGGCACGAAAUAACCAAGAGUGGAGCCAGUGGAGACGAGGAUGUGUUACCGAAGUUCUUUCCUUUUAAGGGGAAGUACGUCUCCGUUAGAGCGGUGUGGAGGCACAAUGCUCCCCAAGAAGCCACUAGGGCCACCGUAAUCUCCUCACGCCCUCACACAAUGCGAAAUGCCGUGAUUCCACUAUUGGUGCCCUUGAAGGCGGCGACCGAACCUUUAUAAACAAGGUUGGGGCAAUCUCCACAACUUAAUUGGAGGCUCCCAACGACAACACGAAGCUUCACCACAAUGGACUAUGGCUCCGAGGUGACCUCAACAGUCUAGGGUGCACAAACACCCAAGAGUAACAAGAUCCGUUAGGGAUUAGUGGGGGGAAUUGAAUAUCUCUUGGUGGAAGUGUAGAUCGGGGCCUUGUCACCCAAUCCCGAGCAAAUCAACAAGUUUGAUUGGCUAGGGAGAGAGAUCGGCCGAAAAUGGAGCUUGGAGCAACAAUGGAGCUUAGGGAUGGAAGAGGUGGUCAACUAGAGGUAGGAGACACACAUUUUAUAGUGGAGGACAACAUCCAACCGUUAUCCACUUAGACCAGCCUGCGACAUGCGGUACUACUGCUCCAGGAGCGCGGUACUACCGCAAGGCCACAUGGUACUACCGUGGGAGACCACGGUACUACCGCGGCAGCUGCAGAGACUAUAACACAAGCAGUAUUACCGCGAGCGUGAUACUACGCUCCCACCUGCGGUACUACCGCGAGGCAGGUAAGUCCUAGUCUGGAAAUGGCACGGAUGAAUAAAAAUACAUCCGUGCCUACUUCCGUGGUCAAAGAGACGAUGCAAACAUCCGUCACGGUACUACCGUGCACAAGGCACGGUACUACCGUGUGUGUGCGGAUGUAAAAAAUUACAUCCGCCCCUACUACCGUGAAGCAACGGCACUAGGCCACGGAACCACGGUACUACAGCUCGGGGGGAGCGAUACUACCGUGGGCACCCGCGGUACUACCGCCCUCAACGUGCGGUACUACCGUGUGGGCGCGGAUGUAAAAAAUUACAUCCGCGCCUACUACCGCGAGGCAGAGGUACUUGGCCAGGGAGCCACGGUACUACGACUCCGAAGGAGCGGUACUACCGUGGGCUCCCACGGUACUACCGCGCAUGGGCACGGUACUACAACAAGUGCCUGCGGUACUACCGCUCCAGGGAGCAGUACUACCGUAAGCUCAGCAACAGUAGUCCGGACACUCACAUAGAGGAUAUACGGGGAAUGCUCCAAAGUGCAAGGGAAAGGAGGAGACAAGGAAGGAAACGUGUACAUGAUGAUUCCACCCGAACCUUUCCGACGCGGACCCCCUCUUAAUAGUACGGCUCUCCUACGACUCAAAUCCACCAAAAAGAAACGUAGAAAAACACCAUCUUCAAUAGUCUUCGAGGGGCACCAAACUGUCUUGUGCCCAGCGAUGAAGCAACUGAGAAACUCAAGGCACACGAUUAGUCUGCUAAAGCAUUGUCAUCAAUCACCAAAACACUUAGGGAUAAAAAUGCCCUUAUAGGAGGAACUCGAAAACGCUUUCAGGGCCAAUUUUCAAGGGACUUAUGUCUGGCCUCCGGAUGCAGACGAUCUAAGUCACAUAAUCCAACAGCCCGGAGAGUCCGCCCGCAAGCUUUGGAACAGAUUCCUCACUAAGAAGAAUCAAAUUGUCGACUGUCCGGACGCUGAAGCCUUAGCGGCUUUCAAACACAGCAUCCGUGACGAAUGGCUCGCCGGCACCUCGUCCAAGAAAAGCCUGCCUUUACGGGCCAACCAGCUAUCCUCACCCGCGUAAAAGCGGGUUAUAAGGCUUGUUAAGGCUGCCAUUGUCCUGAUUCAGGGGCUCUCGACCUGGUCAGCAAAAGAAGCCAUUGAAAGGCAGUAAAGACGGAUCGUCCGGUCUGAACAGAGUCUUGGACAGACUAUGCCAAAUUCAUGGCACCCCGGAGAAACCUGCAAACCACACCCAUAGAGAGUGCUGGGUUUUCAAGCAGGCCGGCAAAUUAAAUGCCGAACACAAGAGGAGGGACACACCAAACGAAGAAGAGGAUGAACCCCACCAGCCGAACACCGGGGUACAGAAAAAAUUCCCGCUAGAGGUUAAAACAGUCAACAUGAUCCAUGCGACUCGCACAUCCACGAGAGGGCAUAAAACACUCGCCCAUAGAAGCACACGAUGUAGAGCCCGUCGUACCCACGUCUCACUACUGGAUGUCUCGUCCGAUCACAUUCGAUCACACGGAUGACCGAACUAGUAUUCGGCACGGAGGAUCACAGGCCUUGGUGCUUGACCCACUAAUCGAUGGAUACCGUCUCACCCGCGUCCUCAUGGACAGCGGCAGUGGUCCCAAUUGAAUAUACGAGGAUACUGUCCGCAGAAAGGGGAUAGACCCAUCCAGAAUUAAACAAAGCAACAUCACCUUUGAAGGGGUGAUACCAGGCGUUGCAGCCUGCGCCAGGGGCUCCGUCGUGCUAGAAGUAACAUUCGGCUCCCCAGGCAACUCCAGAAGCGAAGAGAUGCUCUUCAAUAUCGCACCCUUCCAAAGCAGCUAUCACGCAUUGCUAGGAAGAACGACCUUCGCCUGCUUCAACGCACUGCCACACUAUGGCCACCUUACACUCAAGAUGCCCGGUCCCCGUGGCGUCAUCACUGUUAGCAGAAUCAUAAAGCGCCAUUCAUGCGCAGAGGAAUAUGCGACGGCCCUGGCGGCCGGACUAUAAGCGGCCUCCAGUUUUUAGAAAACAUGAUUGGUCAUUAUGACCACAGACACGGUUAGACGAGUCCGUUAGCCCGGAUAAAUUCAAACAGGGCACUGUAUAUAUAAUCCCGUAAGGGAAACCAGGCGCUGUUUAUAUUUAAUACAGCCCCACGCUUGGCUCGACCUUAUUGGCAGGCCAAUAGUUUACACUCUUAUUAUUAAUCGCAUACUUACGAUGCAGCCUCCUGUGAGUUUUUCUUUUUUACAGACAACGUUCGCGCGAUACCCUUCCAGGAUACGGCACAAUAGAGACAAAGGCGCAGACGUGCAACAGGGCCUUGUGCAACAGGUUUCUUUUUAGAUUAAGCCCCUGUGUAAUCCUUUUCUACUGCCUCUUGUUGUUUAACCAUCCCAUGGGUUCUCUACCCACAGAGGAUACUGCCAUUUUUGGCAUUUGGCCACGGCAGACUAAAAUGCACGUACCUAGAAAUAAAGGGCUUAAAAUAGGCUCUUGUCAGCCUAUCUUCUUUUACAAAAUACCGAAUACCCUCGGGAGUGUUCAGCGUCACGAGUUUGACCAUAUAUGCAUCAGCUCCGAAUCAUGUCUUAGGUCAAAAUGUUGGGUUUGCCCGGCUCCUGGGUAGGCCGCCUUAUGUUUCGCUAUCAUCCGGCUAAGGCAGGCCAAAGGAGAACUACUGCGAUUGUGCCCUGGUUAUUCCGGAUGAGCGCCUCAGUAGAGAAAGCCGAAAACUGACCGUCAUGAUGCAGCGAGAGACUGUUCAACCACUCGAAGACUCACCGGAAUCCCUAAAGAUUCCUUCGCCUUAACGAAGGGCCGUUUUUCGGCCAUGUACACAUGCGCCCAUAUUUGGAUGCACGUAGAGGUACCAGGGGCUACAUAGUCCCCACCAUUAGACUCCCAUGGCUAAGCGAAAGUGUUACAGCUAUAUAGUCUGAUUGCCUAGUUCAGCGUGCGAUCACCUCCUUAACGGACCAAGACGUUGGAUCAAGUGUGCUUAUGCAUAUUUUUUCGCCAACACCCCCGCAUUAUCCGCGAGGGGGCUGAAGCCAACGACUGCUAUCUUUCAGACUACUUAUACAUAUAAGAAUAGCCGCAAAGGGAGGACAAUCAUACUUCCGGGCAAAAGUAUAAACAUAGCCUCAUAAUUAAACUAAACAUUGUUUUCUACAAUGAUUCGACUUAUCACUCGAAUAAAACACUCUUCGAGCACUGCGCCUCUAUCAGGCGGGCACCUUCUGUGACUUGCGCCAAGUAGUGCUCGGCCGGAUGUUGGCCUCCCGACGGAUCCUGGCUUGCUAUUACAGUGGCCUCCAUAUCCGUCCAGUAGGCUUUAACGCGGGCUAGAGCCAUCCGCGCACCUUCUAUGCACGCCGACCUUCUCAGGGCGUCAAUCCAGGACACCGCUCCAAGGAAUUGUUGCACUAAACCAAAGUAGCUGUCCGGCUUAGGCCCCUUCGGCCAAAGAUGGUCUAUUACAGACCGCAUUGCCAGUCCGGACAGCCUGUGGAUCUCCGCCAUAGCAGCCACCUUCUCAUUCAGUGGCAGCUGGCGAGUAGGAGCAUUAAACUGCGACCAGAAAAGCUUCUCCACUUCUUCAUCGCCUUGACCCUCGAAGAACUUGGCAGCGUCAGCUGUACUAUUCACCAAAUCCGCAUAUGCGUCCGCAGGACUCAUGCGACCCGCCAGGGGAGCAUACUUCGGAUCCAAGAACUUCGUCCGCAACAAGUACGAGCCCCCAGCCACGAUUUUGUCAGUUUGUUGGAGCUCCUCCCACAUACUCCGGAUCUCGGUCCGCAUCUCCUUGGCGGCAUUACUUGCCUUGUCCAGCUCGGCCGAACUAGCCUUAUUCUCCUUUUCAAGGAGUGCGUACCGGUCGGCGGCAUUUUUUAACUCUUCAGCCAUUUCGUCUAUCUUUUCCUCUCUUCGGCGAUGAGCAGCCUAUUCGGCUCUCAACUCUUCGACCGCCUUUAGGGCAGCCGCAUUGCUAGCCCGAGCUUGUUCCUUGGCUUGAGCAAGUUCCACCCUCAGGGCCUUCACGGCAGCAGCACCAUCUGCAGUGCACACGUAUUGCAUUAAUAUUAUGCCUUUUGGCAUCUUCGUAUACAUUAUAAUAAAAACCAAGCACAUACCCUGGGACUCCUCUAGCCGUUUAUUCACCAGCGUUAUAUCGGCAUCGAUUGAUCCGAUUUGCCUCCUUAGCUCGACAACUUCAACAGACUGGUCGGCUGCCGGAUCCUUGUAUACCUGCGCACAUGUACGACGCAACCAUUAGUAUAUGAUCCACCGUUUGCCGCUUAUGGCGGGCAACCAGAGUCUCAGGGGCUACUAUCUAUAGGGAGCACACCUAGCGCGUGCUUCAUAACCAAAAAGUUGUGCAUUUUUUCACUACAUACCUCAAAGCCUUUGAGUAGGCUUGUAAAUGCCUCAUUCAAGCCGCCGGUAGCGGAUGAAAUCUUCGUGAGCACCGUGCUCAUUAAAGAGUGGUGCUCCUCCGAGAGUGCGGCUCACUCUAGACGGCCCGUCAGUACGUCCGGCCGGACAUUAAAUUGCGCCGGACCCUUCUCCUCACCCCCCGUGGGAGCCAAACGCUCCGGGCUUAGGGCAGCUGACGUACUAGCCUCCGGCUUUGGCAGAUCCAGACUCCUCCGUGACGACACCUCCGUGUCGCCCGCUUCAUGAGGCGGAGAGCUGGGUGGAGUCUCGCUCUCCAUCAUCUCCGGACGAAGGUCCCCCGAAGACGAACUCUGUUGAGAAGAGCUACUCGCCGGACAACAAAAGGCGAAGUCCUGGUUAUGGAUCUCGGAGUAACGCUACACCUUCGAAUUGAUGAAUAACUUACGGCUCGGUCGAGGGCUGGCCCGUUGGUGGGCAUGACGUGGUGAGGGCGCCCGUCGCGGCAGAACCCCUUGGAGAUGUUUUCUUCCCUUGCUUGGGCGUCUCCGCCUCCAAAUCUUCGGAGGCGGCCCUUUUCCUCCCGCGUGGGGAGGAGGCUUUGACCUCCCCUUCCCGGCUAUCCUCCAUAGGAGGGGUAGCGACUUCCCCGGUCUGGAUGUGCAGCGCGUGAAGUUCAACUUCACUGCCCUUCCCUUCGCCUUUCCCUGUAGGAAUUUUGCUGAGCGCCCGAUCCAGCAUCUUUGCAAUGGUUGGACCAGGCGGGCCUUCAGGAAGUGGCGCCGGACACCUGAUUCUCUUCGCCUUGGCGAGCCAUUCCUGGCCGCGGAGGGAUUGUCAGAAUAACAGUUAUGAUAAAUAUAAAUGAAGUGUCCGGCUUUAAGGUUACUUACUUGGGCAUCUAGGCGAUUGCAGCUUAGGCCCGCAUCCUCGGUGGUGUCCGGACACUUUACUUGUGGUCCAAAGAAUAAUUUACAGAUCCCUUCGAGCUUCAGGCCGAAGAAGUGCUUAAUAGUCCACGGACCCUCCGGAUUAAACUCCCACAUCCGGAGAGGUCGACAUUUGCACGGCAACAUCCGCCGGACUAUCAUCACCUGCAUUAUGCUGACAACAUUUAUGUCCCUCUCAAUAAGCUCCCGGAUACGAUUCUGCAGUUCUGGCACAUCGCCAGCAGGCCCAUAAUUCCGUCCUUCGUCGGUCCAAGACGCUAACUGUGACGGAGGGCCCGAGCGGAACUCGGGGGCAGCUACCCACUUUGUGCCUCUGGGAGCAGUGACAUAGAACCAUCUCCGUUGCCAUACAUCAGACACUUCCGGAAAAGAACCCUCUGGCCAUGGGGCAUCGGCAUUCCUGCUUCUUAUGGCGCCUCCGCACUCCGCAUGUCACCCCUCGAUCAUCUUCGACUUCACAUUGAAGGUCUUUAGCCAUAAGCCGAAGUGUGGGUUGACGUGGAGAAAAGCUUCGCACACAAUAAUGAAAGACGAGAUAUGGAGGAUGGCGUCUGGAGCCAGAUCAUGGAAAUCCAAGCCAUAGUAGAACAUGAGCCCCCUCACAAAGGGGUCGACGGUGAGGCCUAUGCCUCGGAGGAAGUGAGGAGUAAACACGAUGCUCUCAUUGGGCUCCGGCAUGGGGAUGACUUGCCCCGGAGCAUGAAGCCUAUGCUGGAUAUCAGCAGUCAGGUAUCCGACCUCCCUAAGCUUCGCAAUAUCCUCCUCCUGAAUCGAGAAGGCCACCCACCGGCCAGCUGCGUCGGAUCCGGACAUACUGGAGGAUCUGGGGGGCUGGAGCUUAGGUUUUUUGGCGAUGGAGCUCGAGGUAUGAGAAGGAGCGGAGAGGUGGAGAUGAGGCAUAGGCCUCGACCCCUUUAUAAAAGGGAUGAAUACCAAGAGUCCUCAGCGUGGCCGCUUGAGACUUGUCUAAAACACGGAAUUAUACCAACCAUCGCCGUGGGGUCGCAUAUGCCCAUAUUGAUGAAGGAUCCCGUAUUAACAGGGACACGAUCUCUGCUUUGACAGGAUGUGCCGAUAAAACCGGCUCGCAACGCGAGUCGAGGUGGAGCAGGAAGCGCUGGUUCGUGUUGGACCAGGUCAUGAUGCAAGGGCACAAUGUACGAAGAUUGCCAGCAGAACGGAUUUAUGCUAAGGGUAUGUGAAGAUCAUCUUGUAGAUCCGGACACGACCUACGUGUUUGAUAAUCACCUUGGAGUAUUCGGAGGAGGAACCCGCCUUGCAAUGCCGAAGACAAGACUGCACGCCGGACUCAUCAUCAUUGAAGCCUGGUUCAGGGGCUACUGAGGGAGUCCUGGAUAAGGGGGUAUCCGGACAGCCGGACUAUAUUCAUCGUCCGGACUAUAGAAGCGUCAAGACACAAGACUCAAGACUUUGGCUCGUGUCCGGAUGGGGCUCUCCUUUGCGUGGAAGACAAGCUUCGCAAUCCGGAUAUUAUGUUUCCUUCCUUGUAACCAACUCCAUGUAAACCCUAGCUCUCCGGUGUCUAUAUAAACCGGAGAGCAUGGUCCUUAGAAGGCCGAUCACAAUUACAAUCAUACCAUCAUAGGCUAGCUCUUAGGGUUUAGCCUCUACGAUCUCGUGGUAGAUCUACUCUUGUAUUCCACAUAUCUUCAAUAUCAAUCAAGCAGGAAGUAGGGUUUUACCUCCAUCGAGAGCGCCCGAACCUCGGCAAACAUUGUGUCCCUUGCUUCCUGUUACCAUCAGCCUAAGACACACAGAUCGGGACCCCCUACCCGAGAUUCGCCGGUUUUGACACCGACAGCGACCACCGCCACAACUGCAGUUAGAGUUCCAGUGCCACAAUUGCAGCCACAAAAUCCAUCUCAGCAACAACCACAAGAGCAAGUUCCAUUGGUGCAACAACAACAAUUUCUAGGGCAGCAAUAACCAUUUCGACCACAACAACCAUAUCCACAGCCGCAACCAUUUCCUCCACAACUACCAUGUCCGCAGCCGCAACCAUUUCCACCACAACAAUCAUAUCCACAACCACAACCACAGUAUCCGCAACCACAACAAACAAUUUCGCAGCAACAAGCACAACAACAACAAUGACAACAACAACAACAAAUCCUUCAACAAAUUCUACAACAACAACUGAUUCCAUGCAGGGAUGUCGUGUUGCAACAACCCCGAGCUGUCACGGUGCCAAGUCAUCCACAAUGUCGUUCAUGCUAUUAUUCUCCAUCAACAACAACAACAAAAACAACAACAACAACAACAACCGUCGAGCCAGGUCUUCUACCAGCAGCCUCAGCAACAAUAUCCAUCAGGCCAGGGUUCCUUCCAGCCAUCUCAGCAAAACCCACAGGCCCAUGGCUUUGUCCAACCUCAGCAACUGCCACAGUUUGAGGAAAUAAGGAACCUAGCGCUACAGACACUACCAGCAAUGUGCAAUGUCUACAUCCCUCCAUAUUGCUCGACCACCAUUGCGCCAUUUGGCAUCGUGAGUACUAACUGAGAAGAGAAGAACUCUAGUACUAGAUAUAUGAAACACCGUUUUCUUAGACCAUGGUUUGGUCGUUGUAGCGGUGAAGAAUAAAGUGACAUGCACUAUCAUGUAAGAACCCAAACUAGACUAUUUCAAACUUGGAAAUAAAAGACAAACACAGGUCUUGUCUGCAUAUGAUUGUUUGUAUGAGUUCCAUUCAUGUGCCCGUCCACAAGUUCAC